UUUUUUUUUUUUUUUUUUGUUAUUCGGUUGAUAAUACUUCCCAUCACCCAUUAAUUUCAUUAUAGAAGCUUUUCAAUCUUAACUUAAAAGUCAUCUCUCGCUUGGAUUGCUAUUUUCUAAAGUUCUUAUAGAAAAAUAUACUGUGACAACAUAAGAGCAUUUUGGAAUCAAAAGCCUUGUGUACAUAUUAGAAUUGUAUUCUAAAUUUCCUUCACUUGCACGAGGGUUUUAAAUUGUGAAGUUGAUUUUGUGGGCACAAAUUAAGUUAGAAAUUUGGAAGUCAAUAGCUUCCUCACAGGAUUUAACAUUUCAAGAAAGAAGUGUCAAGUGACACAAGUUUUCUAUUGUGUUAAAUACAUAUUUAAGUAUUAUUUACUAUAGAAUUUAGAUAAAUAUUUGAUUUGGUAUAAAGCCAUUUAGUGAUCUGCUGAGAUUUACAUCUUGUUGAGUGGCAAACAAUCUAAAAUAACAACACAUUAAUCAACAAACCAGGAAAUAGAGAGAUGAAGGAGAAAUCCUAUGGUGGAUAUAUAGUACUUGUAAGGCUUGUGCAUGAUACUUGUAUGGAAUAAUAAAAGAGUAAAUCUUUCCUACACUGACGGUGUAUAUACUAUCAUCGUUGGAUUCAUGACAUGUGUGCAAAAGUUGAAUUUCAAAUUCAAAUUUUGCAUAGAUGUCAUUCAUCCAACGCUGAUAGUGUAUACACUGUCAGUGUAGGAAAGAUUAAUCCAUAAUUAAAAAGGCUAAAUCAACAGCUAGUUAACAUAGGUGGUGAUAUAAAAUUGUGAGGAGAUAAAUGCAAUUUUAGAAACUAUAAGGGGGUCCUUGUAGAAGAUGAUUUAGAUGGAUGAUUAAUGUAAGCCUUUGAAUUCAUCUUAUUUAGUUAGGUCUUGGUGUGGUUAAAGUUGUUGUGGCUCCUUAUCAAAAUCAUUCAUCUUAUUGUUUGUGAUGUUUGUUUGUGAAUUGUGAUAAUAUCUUAACAACAAUAUGCCGUGCAUCACAAUAAUUUGGAUAUCAAAAAAGUCGCAAAAGAGUUUUUUGGGCAGACAAUAAUCACGUUAAUCAGGCCAGCCCAAUUUAUUGGGCCAUGAGAGACCAACCCAAGACUAGUAUCCAAGUCAAACUUUGAUUGGCAAAAAAUGGAAUUAUGAUGAAGCAGCUUUCUUGGUGGGACCAAAUGCCAAGGCCAAGAGACAAACCCUUCACAAGUGGUAAGAGAUAAGAUUGAGGGGUUUAUAAUACAUUUUUAGCAGAAAUAAUGUGAGACCGGUCACUUUACAAAAUGCCAAUCAAUUAAAUAUAGUGAUGCAACUGCGUCUCUAAUUUCAUAUCAUACAAUACACAUCCCAAACUCUUCCACCGCCCCUUUCUUCAAGUUGAAAGGUGGGGAUCACAUAGCUUUCAACAAAUGGGGAGAAAGUACAAGUCAUGAAACACAAGUUGCAUUAGACACUCCUAGAAAGCAAACUUGUCUUUACUUCAACCAAUAAUUUCAUAGAUAGUAGAUGCAUAUUCUGUGAGAACUCCACCGCUGAUGUUACAGUUGUGUUGAUAGGCGAUUUGUAAAUAUCUCUGUAAGUGAUCUAUAAUUCUAGAAAUAUGCCCUAAUUUAUGAUGAUGAUUGAAACUGAAUCCAAUCAAACUUUUCGUACCAAAAUAAAAAUACAUAUUCUCUUCCAAUAAGAGUUCGUUAUUAUUGGCCAAUUUUUUUGAUUGUUUUUUAAUGUCGAUGUUGUUUUUUUUGUCAUUUUACCUUUUCGAUUGAGACCUACAUUGGAUAAGGACUAAGACUUUCGUCUAAUUUGUUCACCCUUAUUCUCCACAAUUGAGGAAUAAUAGUGAUUUGGAUCUCCAACUCGUGAAUUUUUAAUUGAAGUUAAGAGCUGAGAAAAGUAUCAGCACUUUCCAUGCUACAAUUCUUUGUUUUUUUUUUUUUUAGGAGCAAACCCAUUAAUUUUAUCAAUGUAUCAGAAAAGUUUAUACAAAGACAUGGGGUCUAAAGUGGACUAUAACAAGAGAAAACACAUAUAAAUAGAGGCCUAACACUAGCACCGUAGAGAGUUACUCUUAUCUAUAUUCCCUGAAAUUUAAUCUCUCAGUUUUGUCUGCUUAAUUUUAGUGUCUUGUAGUAUCAAGAAUAAGAUUAUGAAAUCUAAGGAAUUAUGUAUGAUUUACUCAAGUAUAACAUUCCUCCCAUUAUAUGUCGAUUAUCAUUCCCCCCCAAAUUGUGCAGGAUAAUUACAAUGCUGAUUUUAUGGUUCCUCAGAUGUUAUCACCCUGUUUGUAUGAACCCUAAUUAAAUGUAAUCUUGUAAUUUUAUAAUCACAAAGUGUAAAGUACAUGUGCGUUUUAUGGAUGACACUAAGUGAAAUUAGGUAUCAAUUACACUCAAUGAGAUAAGAUGCUGAAACCAGAGUUGGUUCUAAUCAAUAAUAUGUAACAUUGCCUGAAUCAGUCUCAUAUCUUGGUUUGAUCUUAUGUCGGAUACUUGUCUGAAUCUUAUGAUUUCGACCUAUAUCGAACUCGUUCAUAUGUCAAUCCAACACCUAAUGCUAUUAUGCCAUUCCUCUUUCUGCAGAAAGUAGGCGUCUGUACCCGAUUUUGAGCCUUAGAGUAUCAGGUUUAACAAACGAUCAAGUGAUGAAAAUAGGGUUAGAUUGAAUCGGGUACCUUACCAAAUCUUGUUCUUGUCUCGUGUAAAGGAUUUAGAACAUGAGAUUAUAUGUAUUACAGAUAAAUGAUAAAACCUUGGAAAGGCAAUGGGCUUGGGAUGUGUAACAGAAUAAAAAAGCUAGAAAAAAGUUGUCCUAGUCGAACAAAUUGGUGGGAACACAUCUACACUUGCGGGUUCAAUGAAUCUCUCAUAAUGUUCUCGACCAAAAUAGAGAAGCAUGAACAUGUGCCAUGAGUAUCUCAUUCUCUUCCUCAAUACAAGGGGAAAAAAAAGGCAACUGAAAGUAUCUCUUGGCUCUAUGUGAUAUAUAGUAUAUGAUAAUCAUAAGGGAAGAGAUGAGUUGGAUAGUUCGGAAGAAAAGAGUGUAAGUGAAAAUCUCGAAUUUGAGGCGUUUCACUUUUGCUAGUAUAAAAAAAUGAUAAUCAGGUGUCAAUUUGAACUUGGUAGAACGGCCAAAGAUUCAGUCCAAUUUGAAGGCGACUGGUUGCGAUAUAGGAAGUCACGGGCAGAGGAAAAACGCCAUUCUAGACCCCCAUUUGUGGGAGCAAAACUUGGCUCACGAAAAUCCCUUUUUUUUUUUUUUUUUUAAAGUCUGUACCCAGCAGUAUUUCAAAAAAUCCGCAUUUUAAAUAGUAGCAAAGCAAUAUAUGCGAUUACAAAAUGCUAAUCAGUGUGUCAUUUUUAGUGUAAAAGGUAGAAUUUUGUUGGGAACGAUUUGAACUAGAUUGUAAGGUAGGAGGAAUUGUAAUUAGAAGGUUGUGGAUCCAAGAUCUUCCAUUUAUCAUAAGAAAAAAAGGUGGAAUUUUGACUCUAACCAUCAGAUUUGGUAAGCCAACUGUAAUAGUGAACAUUUAUAGGACCACAAUAAUCCAAAUUAAGUUGUCGAAUUUUCCACGAAAGGAUUGUAGAAGACUCAAAACCAACGCAGGUCCAGGCACGUCUUGACACUAUAUAUAUUUCUCAUGCCUAGACUUUAAUCAUUAAAGCGGGAUUGAAAACUGAAAAGUUACGUUACCUCGCAAUUCCACCACAACCCCAUAAUUCAUCAAAAGGGAAAAUGACAAAACAAUCAACAGACAGAAAAUGAGCCAUUGACGAGACUAAUUAAAGUUGGAGAAAAAUUGGGGUUGAAGCAUAUAGAAAAAGGAAUUUGAGUUCUUCAAGUCAUCUUGUGUCGGCCCUGAGAUUGUUCUAACAUUUUGUUAUGAGCUGGCAAGAUGGAGUGAAGGUCAGAAAGAUUUUACCAGUUCAACUGGCACAGGACCUUCGGUCCAGCAAUCCCUAUUGGACCAUGUCCAAAAGUCAACUAGUUUCACUCACUCGAAGGGAGUGAGUGAAUAAUUGUUAACAAGCAACUCCAACCUAAUCCACAUUUGACUUAAAAGUUUCAUAAAUGCAAGUCCAUUACUGCACAGUACAUUCACGAUUCUUAUAUCUAAUUGCUUAUUGUUUAAGAGAGAGAGAGAGCGAGAGAGAGAGAGAUGGUGGAAUCCUUAUCCAUUUGUAUCUAACAAGUUCUAAUUAAUGCACCAGGACCUAAGAAAUAGAAUUGGUAACACAAGUCAGUUCAAUUGAUAAGAACGAAUCACUUCUUUAUAAAAAAGAUUGUGUGUUCAAAUUUCACUCUUGAUGUGAAAAUUGUGUUCGUAAACGAUCUGUAAGAACCUCUUUAAAUGACCUAUAAUUUUAGAAGCUUGUUCUGAUCCGUGGUGGUGACUGGAGUCGAACCCAGCCAAACUUUUUUUGUGCAAAAAAAAAAAAACUAAGAGAUAGGAUUGUACGUUUGGUGUCAGACCAUUUUCUGCUCAUUUUCCGGUGUUCAAAAUGAAAAACAUGUUGGCUGACAUUGGCCUGAAAUCCUAUCCCACAUCGAAAGAUCGUGGGGUCUUUACUCUGGAUUUAAGGUCCACAGAAACCCUGUUCAGUUACCAAUUAGCUGAAUAGUGGUUCUUUGUGGGUCCCCCUUGGAUUGUUUUCGGGCCGUUCUUCGAUUAACUCUUGCGUUUGUUUAAAUUAGGUGGGUGUGUGUGUGUGGGUUAUUUAUCGGUUUCGAUAAAAGAAAAAAAAAAGACAUUGGCCUGAAAAGCAUUUUGGUGCCCAAUAAUAGAUCAAGAUUGAUUCCUCUAGAGAUAUUCCAAAUUAGCUUUACUACUUAGGGCUAUAAAAUAAGAUGAGACGCUUAUAAGAAUGCUAGCGUUGGCCUGAAAGGCAUCUUAAAGCUUUUGAAAAAGAAUGCUAGCCAUUUGUCUAUAGAGUGGCCCGGCAUUGGCCUGAAAGGCAUCUUAAAGCAGUUGAAAAAGAUUUGUGCCCACAAAUUUGUUUUUGGUAGACUUGUGGAUUUGUGCCCACAAAUUUUUCGAUCCUUUGGCUGCAAAUUUUGUAUAUUUUACUCUUUUUUUUCAACAAACAAAUUUUGAAUAUUUUACUACUUAAGAGCUAUUGCAACACAAUUGAAAAUCUGAACAAUGACGAAUUGCAAGUGUAGCUGCAGUGAAUGCACAACCUCUGACUUGAGGCUGCUUACCAAGUUUCCAAGUCAAAAUUGGGGAAGUCAGUUUUGACUAAAUGACUAGAAGUCAACACAACCUUUUAACAAAAGUCAAAGUCCUAAUUCCUAACUAGCCUUAACUUAAGAGAAGGGAAGUCUUGAGUCGAAGGUUGAUCAUCUCUUAUCUUACCAUCAGUUUUCCUUUGCCAUUAGCUGAAGGUUCAUCUUAUAAAUUAGCUUUCUAGCAGCAAAAAGGGGAAAUAAAAAUAAGGGUAAUGGACAAAAAGAUAAAGAGAACAAAUGAAAAUGAUGGCCUCGUUUGGCAAGUGAGUUUUUUAGAUAUUUGUCUAAAACUAAACUAUAAUUUACUGUAGGAGUUUUUUAAAAAAUUUUUGAAGUGUGUAAAUUUUUGAAUAUUUUGAAGUGUAUAGUUUAAAAAUUUUGAAAAUUUUUUUGAGGUUAUUGUAAUUAAAAUUUUUAAAAAACUUAUAGCAGAUAAACUUGGUAAAAAACUUGCCUGCCAAACAAGGCGGAUAACUCACAGUUUAUGAUCAUUCAAGUUUUUGAUCUAUUCUUGAUCUUAAAUUGCGGACAGAAGUCAGCAAUUUUUGGCCAAUCAUGCAAACCAAUGACAAGUAUCUUGAUUCUGCCUUAGGGAGAACCCUAAAUUAUUUUGUUUAAUUUAGAAAUGUACUUCUAAAUAUAGGCCACAAGAGGGUGUAACACUUUUUUGGGACAGAUAAGAAGGCUAAAAGGCUCACCUCAUUUGGUCGGAUACUAUUGUUUUUGGACUUAAAAGUUAAAGAUAGGAUACAGUGAUUUUCAGCACUUUGCUGGUAAUUGUACUUCAAAAACCAACUUGAUCUUGUUUGUUUUGUGACUUAGGAAUGUUAGGAAAGUUAAGUGACAUAUAAUGCCAAAAUGUGAUUCAAAUGAAAUUGGUGCUCCAAAAUUCAGCUCAUGUCUGCAUUCAAGUUUUCUGGGGAUUCCUUCUUGGCUGUUCUUUUCUUGGAUUAUCUUGACGAUUUCUGUCUUAAUUAUCACAUCCGUGUCUAGUAUUUUUCAAACAAAGUACAAAUGGUUUUAACAUUAAUCGAGUAAAAUUUUCUCCUCAAAACAAAGCCAAAAAAAAAAUAUUUCCUGUUGCUAUUUUGCAAUAAAUUCCCUUGGAUAAGAGAGAUUCAAGAAUUAAGCACUGCAUUCUUUUCUAGUUGGCAUAUUUAUGUGAACAUUUUUGUACUGUCACUCUGUAAUUCUAUCAGUAUCCAGAUCAGGAGGCAAUUAACUAUUCAAAAAGUACUCACAAAUUACAACAAUCUUGCUCAUUAUACAUCAGAUUUGUAUUCCUAGCCAGCAGAUCUCAACUCUACAAGGCCAUAAACUUUGAUUGGGCCAUUAGCAGAAAAACUACUCCAGUACCUAAGCGUUUUAUGAGAUUCACUUCGUCCAGCCCACAACAAAAUCGAUCAUGCGUGGGCUGUUCGGGCUGCUUUAGUCUUGGUCAACAACCUUACAAAACCUUCGGAUAAUUCAAUUCUUGCUUCCUACAUUUUUUUUUUUUUGAGAAAUAUGCUUCGAUGUCAAAGCAUCAAUCUGCUGCGUUUAGGGCUGUAAACGAAUCGAAUCGAACUUUUCAUAAUUUGAGUUUGAUUCAAAAUUUUGGACUUGAUUUUGAAUUCGAACUUGAAUUCUAUAUGAGUUUAAAGUCUAAACCCGAACGCAAUUUGAUCUAAUAUUCGAUGGGUUUGAUCUUGAUUCGAGAGCCCAAAAUUUUAUUAAUUCUUCAAUUUUAAUAUUAAACGAACACUAAUUCAUUUAUAGUAUAUGUAUAAUAAAAUAAUAAACAUAUAAUUUUAUAUAAAAUAUUAACAAGUAAUUUAAACAAAAAAUAUUAAAAGUUUUUCAAAUCAAAUUGAGCCUUAACAAGAUGAAUAUUUACAAGUUCGAGCUCGAUUCAAUACUAUAAAUGAAUCAUAAUUCCUAUUCGAAUCUGAACUCGAGUUCGUUAAAAAUCAAGUUUGAUUUUUAACGAAGUUCUUAACGAAUCCAGUUCGAAUUGUUCGUUAAAGUUUGAAUUCGUUUACAGCUCUACUGCUGUAUUCAUUAAGUUACCGUUUUAAGUGUCCUUAUUUCCAUCAGUAAAUUCAUAGGUAGGUACAUAUUCUAUCCCAACAGAGUUCAUUGUUAUUAGCCAAACCUCGUCGUUAUUAUCAAUGUUGUUUUUUUGUCAUUUUACCAUUUAGGUAUAAUAAUGAUUUGGAUUUCCAACUUGAUUUCCUUCUGUUCCGAGUAUUUCUAAUUGAAAACCAGUCAUUGCUGAAUGACUGGAUAUCAUUUAGAACGUAAAUCACCACCAUUGCUGAAUGAUGUGGCAAUCAGUCAUUGGAUAUAAAUUGAGAGAACUAUUCCCUGAAAAAAUUUAGAAAUUUUCCAUUCCAUCAAGUUCAAAUACAAUUAUGAAGGGAGAAUCUGAAUUUACAUCCUUCCCGUGACUAUAAUUUCAACGCCUUUCAUGCAUUAAUUCCUUAUAUAUACACACACAUAUAUAUAUAUUGGAGCAAACUUAUUCAUUUUAUCAACAAUAUCAAAAAAGUGUACACAAAGUGAGUAUCUCAAGCGGGCCAUAACAAGAGAAAGCACAUGUAGAAAGUGGUCUAAUCCUUACGCACCAUAGAGUUACUCUUACCUACAUUCCAUGCAAUUUUGAUCUCUCAUUUUUGUCUGCUUAUUUUUAGUGCCUUGUGGUGACAAGAAUAAGAUCUUAGAACCUGUGGAAUCAUAUUGGACCACUCUCAAUGAAAUAAUUAGAUGUCGAAACCAGAAAUGGUUCUCUUUAAUCAUCUAAAAAGUUCUACAACAAGUAGUAAAUACAACAAUUUUAUGAUUUGGGCAGCUUGAAAUUGUCUGUUCCGUCUGUCCCGUUCCUAUUUAACUGUCACAUGUGUUGAUUAAUAAUUCUUAUGAUACUAUUGUGGAUAAAUCCAGUAAUAAAUAACUCUUAGAACUCUAUUGGGAAUAAAUCCAAUAGUACAAUAGCAUUUAAAUAAAGAUGGGAUAGAAACAAAAUUCAGAGCAGAUGAUUUGAAACGGAUUUGGACCUAUAUUGAGCUCUUUCAUCUGUCAAAGGAACACCUAAUGCUAUAAUAGCAUACUCCUCUUUUUGCAGAAAGAACUUUCUGUAAUGGUGUGUGUCUCCGAUUCUAGGCCUUAGGUAUCCGGUUUAAAAUAGACGAUCUAGUGAUAAAAAAGGCUGUAGAUUGAAUAGGGUGCCUUACCAAAUCUUAUCUCGUGUAAAGGAUUUAGAAUAUGAUGAUAUAGUACAUAAUAUGUAUCACUUGUAAAAGCUCGGAAAGGCAAUGGGAUUGAGAUGUUUAUCAGAAUAAAAUCUUGAAAAAAGUUGUCCUAGUGUAACAACUUGGUGGGAACAUAUCUACUUUUAUGGAUAAUGGGCUCAAUGAAUCUCCCAUAUUGUUCUAAACCAAAAUAGAAGAGCAUGAGAAUCUAAUUCUCCCUCUCAAUACAAUGCAAGGAAAAAGUAGUUAGAAAUUAAAUAUCUAUUGGCCCUGUGUGAAAUAGUGUAUAAAACUGCCAAAGACUCAGUCCAAUCUAAAGGCGACUGAUACAAUGCAAUAUGGGAAGCUAUGGGCAGAGAAGAAAACAUCCUAGAGAAGAACCCUUAAUGUGGGAGCAGAACUUUGGUCAUCACAUCCUGUUUUUUGUAUGUACCCUGAAGCAUUUCAGGUCAGCAAAAUUUUAAGAGGGCGACAAAGCAAAAUAUAUGCGAUUGCACUGCUAAUUAAUGUGACAGUUUUAGUGCAGGAGGUAGGAGGUGAGACGGAGGAUCGGAUUGAGUGGUAAGAUAGAAUGGAUUAUAGGUACUGAAUUCUACAUUUCCCACUUACCAAAGAAAAAAAAAGUAAAAGUUUUAGUGACUCAAACAUUAGUUUUUUUAAAAUUAUUUUUACAAUGGAGAGAUUAUGCAUAUGGUACCUUAAAAAAUUGAUUUACACCUGGAUUUCUUUUUAUUUUGGGGCCAUUAAUUAAAAGAGCAAUUACCAACUAAUCAGAUUUGGGAAGGCAACUGCAAUAGUGAACAUUAACAUCUAUAGGACCAUAACAAUCUAUUAAGUGGUCGAAUUUUCCACAAAAAGUAUUGUCAAUACCUACGCAGGUCCAGUCUUUUCUUGACUUUGAAUAUUUCUCCUACGUAGACUUUGCUCGGUCAAGUGGGAUUGAAAACUUAACAUUCCCCAGCUCCCUUCCACCACAGCCCCAUACAUGCAUUAAUCAAAAAGCCAAGUGGCAAAACAACCAACAGACAAAAAAUGAGCCAUUAAAGAGACUAAAUUAAAGCUGGAGAAAAAAUGGGGUUGAAGCAUACAGAAAUGGGAGUUGAAUUCUUCAAGUCUUUGUUUGUUAGUUAUCCUUAUUGGACCCCGUCCAGAAGUCAACUAUUUUCACUUCCUUCACUUCAAGGGAGUGAAUGAAUAAUUGUUAAUAAGCAACUCCCAACCUAAUCAACAUUGUUGCAUACUUUUAAGAUUUUUAUAUCUAAUCAUGUAUUGUUCUCAAACAAAACAAAGAUCAACCGUGGAAUCCAUAUCCAUUUCUACCUGUCAAGUUCAAACAAUGCACAAGAGAUUGGGUUGUAACUGUUAGAAGUCAACACAACUUUUUAACAAAAGAUGUCAUAGUCCUAAGCCCUAACCAGCCUUAAAAGCAGGGAAGUCUUGAGUCAAAAGUUGAUCAUCUUUCUCACUGUCACUUUGUGUUUGCCAUUAGCUGAAUGAAGGAGAGGAGGGUUCAUCUUAUAAAGUAGCUUUCUAGCAGUUAAAAGAAAAAAAAAUACAGGUAAUUAAUGGGCAAGACAUGCAGAGAACAAACUGACUAAAAAUGCUCAGAUAGGAGGUAGUCUUGGAAACUACCUUAAUUUUCGCCUUUCUGGAGAACCCUGAAUUAUUUCGAUCAGUUUUAGCUUAAUUCAGAAAGUACUUUAGAAUGUAGGCCACAAAUGGGUACAAUACUUUUUGGGACAAUUAAGGACACCGAAAGCUCAUCUCUUUUGGUCGGAUAUUCUUUGUAUUUAUAGAUGGGAUAUUGUCAUGCAGGCUUGUUCUCGAUUGAUUAUUUUAAUUGAUUAUAGAUUUUGAUUUUUGGAUAAUAGUUUUGUGAUGCUCUCGAUUACUUUUGUAUUUUGAUUAUAGAUUUCUUAAUGAUAAAAAAAAAAGUUAAAAUCUAUAAUCAUUUGAAGAGUACCUUUUACUGAUUCUAAUUAUUCUUUAUAAUCAGAUUUUUGUAAAAUCUAAAGCAACCGAGAAUUAGGCCGUAGUUUUCCAACAAUUUACAGGCAUUUCUACUUCAAAACCAACUUGAUCUUGUCUGUUUUAUAUGUGACUUAGGUAACUAAUUAGUAAACUUAGGUGGCUUUGACCGGCUAUAGUAGCACUUGUCUUUGCAUAUAAUGCCAAGCAUUCUCAUCCAAAAAAUUAUUCAAUUCAAUUGGUGCCCCAAAAUUCAGCUCUUCUCUGAAUUCUAGUGUUUUGUGGGUUUCUUCUUGGCUUGUUCUCUCUUGGAUUAUGUUGGCCAUUUCUGUCUCAACUCUUAAUUAUCACAUCCGUGUCUAAUAUUGUGAGCAAAAUACAAAUGGUUUAGUAUUAACCAAGUCACAUUUUCUCCUCAAAAAAAGCCCAAAAAAAAAUCUCUGUUGCUAUUUUGCAAAAUUUCCGUGGACAAUAGGGACUUGAGAUGUAACCACUUUUUUUUUUGGCAACACAGAGGAUAUCCCAGCAUUUUUGCUGGACUAAUCUCUUACGGCUAUACAGAGCCCGCCCAAGAAUGCACAGCAAUGUUAGUAUGGUAGGAUUCGAACUGGUGACUUACGGGAUACUACAGCAUAUGGUCACCAACUGAGCUCCCUGCAGGGGCAGAGAGGUAACCACUUGGAUCCUUUUCUAGUUUUAUGUGAACAUUUUUAUACUCUUGGCAUUCUGAAAUGCUAUCAGAGUAUCCAGACUACAAGGCGAUUCACAAAUGAAAAAUUGCUCACACCUAUCUUGCUACUUGGACCUCGUAUUUGUCUUCCUCGGCCUGCAGAUCUUGACUCUCCAGGUUAUUAAUUUUCACUGGGCCUUACCCUGAAAACAAUCCCCCGUUGCUGAACCCUUUUGGGAGAUUCAUUUUCCCUGGCCCAGAACAAAAGCAAUGAUGUGUGGGCUGCAUCAUUCUGGUCAAUAACGUUUCACUAGGGUCGUAAUGGGCCAAGCUUUGGUCGAGGUAAAGGAAAAAAAAAAUCAAUUCGAUGUACCCACUAAGGAUUUGUUCUUGGUUAAUUAUUUGAAUUGGUCAUAAAUUAUAACUUUUAAUAAUACAAUUUUUUGUUCUCGUUGCUAUUAUAUAUGGAUUAUAGAUUUUUUUUAACAAUAAAAAAAUUAAAAUUCACAAUCUACUAAAAAGUAACUUUUGUUAAUAUUAAUUAUUCUAGUUACUUACUUAUCAGAUUUUAUAAAAUCUAAAAUAAUCGACAACAAGGCCACAGUUAACUAGGGCGUCAAUGACUAGUGUGGGGAAGAUGUAUUCAAAAUUCAGAGGAAGAUACUUCACAAUUUUUUUUGUUAGAGUAGAUGGCCAAAAAGGUCACUAAAUAUUAAGUAUGACACAGAUUAGCUACCGAUUUUUUUUUUUUUUUGUGGCCACAAAGAUCACAGCAAAAACGGGCCAGGGAAAUCAUUUUGUCAAAUUCUACCAUUAAAACUAUUGGCUGCCGAAUAUAAUUUGGCAAAAAAAAAUUGUUAAAUUUCAAUAAUUUACCAAUCGUCUUAUGACAGAAUUUGACAAAAUGAUUUCGGUGGCCACUUUUUGCCAAUUUAAUGACGUUUGUGGUCAAGCAAAAAAGUUUGACGACUAAUCUGUAUCAUCUUUAAUAGUUUAGUGACAUUUUCCACCUUUCCCUCUUUUUGUUACAAAGCUAAGUGCAGAUUUUGUUACUGUUGACAUUUUCCCAGAGGUCCUUAGCAGUUUGAGGUACACAAUUCGAGGUAUUUAUGACUGGUUAGUAGCAAAACUUUGAAUCAUUACCUAGCAGGAGAAAUAAACCAUCAGCCCAUCCUUUACGGUAAUCAAGAAACUAAUUCAUCUCUUCAUUCACAUCAUCUCAUCUUUCACACCAAUCAAGAAACUAAUUCAUCUCUUCAUUGAACCCAUCUCAUCUUUUACACUAAUCAAGAAACUUAAUUCAUCUCUGCAUUACCCUCCCAACAAUUUCAAGGGUUUACCAAUUUAUUUCUAUAUAAACAAACUGCCCUUGCAGCUCGAGAAUAUGAGACAGAAAGUUCAGGGUAGCAAAACAAAAAUGAAAGGAUCAGAGAUCAUCAAGUCAGUUGCUUCUGCAGCAGGUUUAGGUCUAGUUGCAUGGGGCAUUUCUCAACUUUUGGAAAUCUGGGGCGUUACAAAAAUUUUUGGAUUCGCAUUACCAUGGAUAAGCAGGAAACUGAUGAAAGCACCAGGAGGCAACUACUACAUCUUCAGGGAUGUCUUCGAGCGUGACCCUGCUGGCUAUUUCCGUGGCCUUCGCAAUUUGAAAAAUUAGUUAUAUCUGUCUUCAGGAAAACUGAUGAAUAUUACUGGUUUCUUAGCGGCUAAUGAUUGAUAUAUCUGUCUUUGCGGGUAAUUAGUUGAAUCUCCUACUGAAGUUGUAAUGCAUUAGUAAAAUUCCCUUAUCCCUGAUCUGAUAUUCAUAAAUUAUCGAUGGAUUAAUUGGGAUGCUAAUGGCAUGAAUAUGUCCAAUGUUGAAUAACAUUCUCGAAUUCUCAACUUCUAAAAUGUAGUGGCAUCGAUCAUUUACUUGUAGCCAAGAGGAAAAACCAAAACAAGAAGCAGCUUGCAUUCGAAGAAUGUAGUGGCCUUUACAAGUGCCUAAAGGAAAUAGGAAUUGCUAAUUCAUACAAGCGAGUGAUUUUAUUACAUAACCAUAAAUUAUUCAACUACAAAUGAUAAGGCUUGAUGGGCAUCACCACGCCUAGAAUUAUCUCACUGUAAUAGCCUCUAAGCCCUCCAAGAAAGAGGUACCCACCAAUAAUAGUGUCUGGAUUUUUACCUUUGGAGGGACCCUAAAUUAUUGCCGGUUUAGAAAAGUACUUUUGAAUACACAAAAUGGUGUACUUUUUUUUGGGGGGGGAUAAAGUGAAUUUCAUCAAUUUGCAAGAAGUUAUACUACAAAAGUAAAGAAACCAACUUGAUCUUGUUUCUAUUGUGAUUUAGGAAAGUUAAAUGGGCUAUCAAUUGAUAUAGUGGUACAUGUAGGUUACAAGAGCUCGGGUAUGGGAAACAUUCUCAUCCAAAAUAUGACUCAAAUAUAUUGGUGCUCCGAAGUUUAGGUCUUGUCUCAAUCCAAGAGUUUUGGUGCUGCUCUUUCUUGGAUUGUCUUCAUUGUUUGAGUCUCAAUUAUCACAUCCUUGGGUAAGGCACCAAAAUGAAGUAAUUAUACUGUUUCAAUUAGUGAAUUUAUGGGAAUAUCAUCCAACAUUUCCAUUAGCAGUUGGUGAUUAUUCGUAUUAGGUAUUGUGCAAUUGCAAUUAUUGCAUCUGUCUCCAGGUUACAAGGCAAUUAUCAAAAAUUACAAAUAGUAAAUUUUAACUCUCAAGGUGAUAAAGGAUGGACGAAUUGGCUUCGCAUUAAUAAUUUUUUUUUUUUAAAAAAAAAACUCUCAAAGUGACUUAACUGAUUCGGUCAUAGACAAACCAAAUUCCUCCAACACUUGACCCUUUAUUUGUGACGAUUCAAGUUUUGUUUCCUAAACCAAGAACAUGCAGAGUAUUUAUAUUUUUUAUAUUUAGUUUUUGUUUUUAUCAUGAGCCUAUUCGACCAGUUCAAAAACAGUUGCAUUUUCUACUCGAUUAUUGAAUGAGUUUGAUCUUGUGUUCAAACUAGAUUUAUUUGCUAUAGAAUCGAGCAUUUUCAAAUUCGAAUAAGCCAAAUAUGAACAUAUAAGCUAAUUGCAGGGAUCAUCAAAUGCACUAAUAGUACAAGUACUACAAAAAGGAAUUUUUAAGUUUUACAAUUCUAAACGCUUUAUGUUGGAAAGCUAAAGAUAGAUUUUUUUCCCCCAAUUGUUCGUUACAUUUUCCAAGAGUUUCAUGCUCACUAGACCCUUAAUAUUCAGCAAAUACACAAUUCAAGGUAUGUAUUAUGACUGUUCAGGAUUCUCAUCUCAUCUGUUACACUGAUCAAGAAACUAAUUCAUCUGUUCAUAACCCUCUGAUCAGUUUUCCAGGAAAUGUAUUACCAUCUAUAUAAACAAACCGCUUUUGCAGCUUCUGAAUAUGAGCUAGAAAGUUCAAGAGCAGCAAAACAAGAAUGAUGGUCAGGGCAAUUGCAUCUGCAGCAGUUCUGCAAAAUCUAUCACUGUUAAAUGAGAUAAAAUAUUUCGAAAAUUGGAAAGAAAAAAAAAAAAACUUUCGGCGCCCCUCCACAGAUCACGUUAGUCUUCUUGGAUUUGACCAUACCAUUCAUUACUUUUUGACAUUACCUCAGUACAUCAAUCCCAAAGUUCUUCUCGAAUACACAAAUCCAUGAUUCAUCAGCAAAAGAUAAAAGCCAAAUAGUACUGCUAGAAAUUAGGAACAAAUACCCCACUAAACCCUAUCGCAAAUCUCACUUUUAUGUAUAACCUUGCUUGUAUUUGCGAAACAGGUCCUCAGUCUUGGCAUUCCUAAAAGCACAACAUCCAAUUAAAUAAACCCAAAUCAAGCCCACAAGUGUGAUUAAUAAUAUAAUGUCUGCUCUUCUCCAUUCUUUCUUGAGAUUAGCCAAUAAUCCUGCUUUGCAUGAAUCGCAUGAGUAGCAAAGUUGUGUUUGCUCAUUGCUCCAUUGAAGGCAAUCCAUGUCUGCUGCUGUGUCUAUUGGACUAAUCCAGUAUGUUGGGUUCACAAAUGUGUAGCCGCAUUGUGUUGGAGGUUUACAGCAGCCUGACUGUAAAUGGAAUAUCAAGAAAAAGAUUAAAGGUGAAUCAUUCCUAGCGGGUAUAUAUAUAUAUAUAUGUGUGUGUGUGUGUGUGUAUAUAAACCCAUUUUCACACAUGAUUAAUUAGGGGCUUCAUGAUUGACAGGAAAAAAUAUAAAAGAUAAAAAUUGAACUUAAAACCCUUGUGUAUAAACACGUAGGAAAUUUUUUUUUUCAAGUUUUUAUUUUUAUUUUUUAGCCUCCCAUCCUUCCCCAUAGGUCCACUCUCUUCUCACUCCUAACUAUUGAGAUUUGAAUCUUAAAUUUGAUGGUAGAAAAAACUAUAAAAAUCCUCCCUUGACCACUAAACGGAUCCUAAUGGUUAACAUGUAAAAUUUUUUCUCACUCAUGUUUCUUAUGUAAAUGUAACAUUUUGUAACUUAAGAAUUUAGAUUCAUGCAAUUGCAAAAAUAAAAUUUGCAGAAACAAAAACUCAAAUUUUUACACAAUGUGUCUUAUUCUUUUGUUUUAAAAGUAGUGUAGUAACAAAACCUAAUCUUGAUUUAGGCUUUGUUUUUUAUUAAUCUUUCUAUUCAACUGUUAGCAGCUAUUUGUGGCUUUAACUAUUGAGGUCCUAAAUUGUUGUGUGGAAGAAUCUUCACUAUUCUAAGCUUUAUGAUGCUAUUAAUUCUUUUCUGUACCGACAAAGUAAAAACCUUGUUUGACAUAGAAAGCACUCUAAGAAUACUUUAGAUGCUAAAGCAUACGUGUGAAAUAAAAAAGAAAUGAUCCCUACUAAUCACUUUUCUUUCAUGAUAAGUUUUUAUAUUAGGUUUGAGUCAUUGAUCCUUUUAACAUUUUUAGUGGAAGAAGGUAUCAGCAGCUUUAAUAUUUGAAGAAUGUAAAAAGAGCAAAUCUGGAGGAUGGUGUAACAGAAAUCCACUACUGUUACCUCACCUUUCAAACAAAAAUGCUGAAGUAAGCAGGUAAAUUCAAAAUCCCAAAACAAAAAAGGGAAAAUAAAAGCAAAAAUAAAGAUCAAAUCCUUGUUAAUCCUCUUUUCUUUUUUUUUUUUGGAAAUAAGCAAGUAUGCAAUGCUUAAAAACCAAAAAGAAAAGGAAAAUAAAGACCAAAAAAAUUAAAAACUUUGUUGAUCCUCCUCUUCUUCUUCUUCUUCUUUUUUUUUAUUGCAAAGAAAUAUGGACCAUAUGUUACUUGAGUACACACAUUUGGUAGUUAAACUUUUGAACAAUAUUAUCAGUUUUAAUGUCCAACCAUGCAACAUUUCGCCAUAGAACCAAAAAAUGAUCAGAAGUAAAUUUUUAAGCAAGAAAAUGAAGUUCUUGAAAUUACCUGUAAGGGACUAAGAUGUGCAUUGAAGAAAUCUUGAGGCAUACGAUAACUUUGGUUCAACUCAGCACACAUGCUAGAAGAGCUAAGGCAACUUCUUAUUCUGUCCCAUUUAUAAGAGCUUUGAACUCUUCUUCGAAGCCAUCCGGAGAAGUCAUCAAGAUGAUAUUCCAAAUAAGCUCGGUUUGUUGCAGGCCGGCCAGAGCCUCUGAUGGUAACCAUAUAGAUAAAAACCACCAAACAAGCAAGCAAAACUAUGAGAACGAGCAUAGCAAUGAGGUACAAAAUAAGAAGCCAUGGAAUCCUCCAAAACCCUCCAAUAAAACCCGCAAGAGCCACAAUCAAAAUCAGAACUCCCAAGAUAAUCACUGGCCAUUGAAGAAGUUUUACACAGGAAUUGUCUGGUUCUGUUGCUAGCCAGAUUCCAGCACCGAUGAUGGGGAUUGAAAGAAGCAUUGCAACAAAGUUUAUGCAACCAAUAACAUUAUUGCUUAGUGCCAUUUCUUUGAAGAAGGAAGAAAUGCUAAGUCCUUUUUUUUUUGGGGGGGUUGGCUGAGAAGAAUAAGGAUGGAGGAAGAACAGGAAACUAGGUAGACAAGAUAGAGAUUUUGAUUUGCAAGUCACUAGUACUAGUUUUUGUUCUUUUCCUUGGAAGGAUGAAAGCUACUAAAGCAAAUGAAUCAUAGAUGUAAAUAGGGUUAUGAGCUCUUGGACCAAACGUUCAAUCACUUUAGUUUAACUUUUUAAAAGGGAAUAGUUGUAAAGAAAACAAAAGUAAAAGAAAGAAGAAAUUCCUCUCUCAUGAGUAGAAAUAGAAACUUGUGCUCUGUCAUAAUGUUGGGUACAACGAAGACUUUGUGCUUCAGAUGCCUCGGGCUCCAUACACACUGUGGCAUCUUUUCGCUGAAUUAGAUCUACGAUUGCUUGGGGUAAAAAAGUUAAUUAUGCUAAAGAAAAGAAUGAAGAACUAAAAUCACCUGGCUCAUAUGUCUCUAUCUUUGUAUCCUACAAAAAUAUUUAAACGUAGUGCACUUCGAUUGGUGAAAUCCUUUACCUAUAAUUAAGAGGUGGAGGGAAUAGGAGGAAUAGGAAAAGCAAGGAAAUGAAAAGAUGUUUUGAUUGAGUUUUUAGGAGGAAAAGGAAAGAAUAGGGAAAGAAAGGAAGGGAUUAAGUCUAAUUAUUUGUUGGGUUAAUUACAUUUACCUCCCCUGAGGUUUGACGAAUCGAUCCCUGAGAUUUGACCAAAUAACAAAAAGGUCCCUCAACCGUUAGUCUUUGCCGUUGACUGUUAGGGUUAAUUACAUUUACCCCCUUGAGAUUUGAUCAAAUAACGAAUCGAUCCCUAAAAUUUGAUCAAAUAACAGAUUCCUCCCCCACACUAACUUCUGUCACUUAUAUGUAACGGAAAUAGCCAAAAAUCUAAAUAACCCUUAUUGAUUUCCAUCAAAUUUUUAAGGAUUAAUUACAUCUAUCUCCCUUGUGGUUUGACCAAACUACUUUUAAAUCCCUGUGGUGUGGUAAUAUUACAUGUACCUCCUUUUUAAGUAAUCUCGUCAAAGACACUUAAAUAGAAGUAAUGAAAUAUCAUAUUUACCCUCUUUGUAAAACUUGUAGUUAGAGAAAACUUACCGUUAAAAAAUCGAAGGUGGUUUCAAUAAUAACGAAUUAAACUAAGAGUUUAUUACUUAAAUAAAACAGUUUUUAACCAGUAUAAAAGAAAAAAACCAAGCAUGUAAUAAUCAAACUUGAUAAAAUAUGCGCAUAAAGGAACAAAAGAAAGAAAAUGAAGAAAGAAGAAAAGCUUAGAAAACAAAAAAGAAAUUAAAAUGUGAAAAGCAAAGAAAGGAAUGGAAAAAAAAAGUAGAGUGAAAAAAGGAAACCGACAAUUGAGCGAUGAAAGAAAAUUUAUAGAAGCAAUGUAAAGGUUCACUCAAUCCACCACAAAAAUGAGACGGACAUGAUUUUCAAAAAUGAGACCAUUACCGGAUUCUCAAAUAUCCUUUGACUACUUAAUCGGCCAUGACAAAGUGUUUUGUGCAGAAAAGCCUUCUGCUAGUUUGGUUUUACAAUGGGUUACUAAUAAAUAGAGUAAAAUGUCAAUAGAAAUCUGGUACUUCAUUUAUAUAAUAUAGGAAAAGUAUAAGGAGCUGGUACAUUAUGGAAAGAAAAAAUGCGUACUACAUUUUCAACCCUCUUAUUCGCUAGAAAUUUUAAAUUUACUUUAUCUUUUAAAUAAAUUAUUUUUUGAAAAAAUAGGUAAUUUGUUCAUAUAAUUGGGAAAAGUCGUAAAACACUGGUAUUUUAUGGGAUAAUGGGUAUUACCCCAUGUAAUCCAAAAUUUGUCACUCUAUUUCACCAAAUUACAAAAUACGUGUAUGGCAAAUUUUGCAUUACAAGGUCUAUCAAAAUUUACUAUGAUUUUAUCUGUUAAAUAAAUUAAUAAUUUGUUGGAUUCAAAAUUUUAUCUGUUAACCAAAAUUUUUUUCUGAAAACACAAAAAUCGAUAGGUCAAAAAUUUGAUGGAAAUCAAUAAGGGUUAUUUAGACUUUUGGCUAUUUCCGUUACAUAUAAGUGACAGAAGUUAGUGUGGGGGAAGAAUCUGUUAUUUGGUCAAAUUUUAGUGAUCGAUUCAUUAUUUGGUCAAAUCUCAGGGGGUAAAUGUAAUUAACCCUAACAGUCAACGGCAAAGACUAACGGUUGAGGGACCUUUUUGUUAUUUGAUCAAAUCUCAGGGAUCGAUUCGUUAUUUGGUCAAACCUUAGGGGAGGUAAAUGUAAUUAACCCUUAUUUGUUAUGAGCCUGUAUUCCGUUUAAAAGUAGACAGACAUUGAGGGAAAAUAAGCCAUUAAACCAAGAUCAAUGAAAAUGUUAAAUUUUUUUUUGAAAUAUCCUUGUAUUUUUUCAUAUUUAUCAUUAAUGUAAUUUAUCUUUAAUACAAUCUCCACACUACCUUAUAAUCUAAACUUACUUUUUUAAAUUAUAUCUGAAACCUCUAAAUAUUAGAUAUUUUAUUAAUAUUUACUAUUAUUUAAAAGAUUUGCUUUUUGUAUUCUCGAGUUCUAAUUUCUUCUCCUAAAAAAACUUCAAAAUAAAAAAUAUUCGAUUCAUUUUGAAAUACUAUUAUCUUUGAGAUUUUCGUGAACAUAAAAGGAUGAAUACAAAUAAAUCAAACUAAAAAGGAGAAAAUAAACUAAAAGGAGGGUAAAUUAGAUUAUGUUAAAUUAUGGGCAAAUUCAAAAGGGAAAACGUUAAAAACGUUGCUCAUAGUUCGCUAAAUGAAUUGUUUUGUCUUUCACUUUUAAAAUAUUAACUUUACGUUCUUUACAAAUUCAAAUUAGCAAUAUUUGGUCCCAACCUAAGUUUCGAACCACUUUAAAAUCUGAAACCACCACGUGACUCAUAUGCAGCCAUUUUUUAUUUACAAAAAGGUCAUAUUCCACUUGUUUAGUAGCAAAAACGAAUAUAGAUUGGAUCAGAUCCCAUUUUUUUGAUGAAAAUAAAUAUGAUUCAGAUUAAAUCCUACUUUUUUACAAGUAAAAAUAAAUAUGGAUUGGAUCAUUUGUUUAACUACAAAUUGGCUCUAACCUUUUUGCUCCUAGAAAAAUGACCAUAUACGAGUUAUGUGAUGGAUUCAGGGUAAAAGGUAAUUGAAAACUUAGGUUAGAAUUAAAUUUUAUCGAUUUGAUUUUAUAAAGGAUAUAAAAUUACUAUUUUAGAAAUGAAGGACAAAACAAUUUAUUAAAAUGUGAGGAAUGUUUUAAACAAUAUUCCAAUUCGUAACAAACACAGUGAUUCCUACCCUGAUCCAAUCAAUACCUUUAGUGUUUUUUUUGAAUUAAUUUUUUAUACACUGACAGUGUAUAUACGUUUACCAUUAUAUGCAUGACAUGUAAUCCGAAUUUGAAUUUGAAACUCAAAUUUUACAUAUGUGUUUUAUAUCUAACCAUAAUAGUGUAUAUACCGUCAUCGUAUAUAAAAUUUACUAUUUCUUUUUUCCUUCCAUAUCCGAUCUAAACAAGACAGUUAGAAUCCGCUUGCUCUUCUCAUUCUUUUUCACUAGAGUCACUUCCUUCCUUUUUCUGCCCUUUCUUUUUCUUGCAAGGCCACUACUAUUUGCUUUUCCUAAAAGAAUUCUUCAUAAAUAUGUAACUGUACCCUUAAAAUAGAGGAAUUUAACAAAAAACAUAUCAUUUAACUCAUUUGUUGCACAAAUAAAAAAAUAUAUUGAAAUAGAAGAGGCGUGCAAUGAAUGUCCUUAACUUGUAAGGUUUUCAAACUGUCCUUAAUUUUUGAACGUCAAAAAUUUUAUACACGUGACAUGCAUUCUGCAUGUAUAUUUACCUUUAGUGUAAGAAUGAUUAAUUCAUAUAUAUAUAUAUAUAUAUAUAUCUUCUGUUUUUUAGCAUGAACUACAUCAACAAGAACAUCAAACAUGUACUUUCUUUUUUCUAAAAAGAAUUAACAAAGGAAAUAUUUGUAGAAGGAUUGGGCCUAAGCUGAAAUAUAGUUACAAGCCCAUCAGUUUGGCAGCCUGGUCUCUUGUCAGCCCAAACCAAAUUAAUUUGCAUGAUCUGCUUUGGGAAUUGAGAGGUUAUCUUUCAACAGAAAAAUCUCUGGAAACCAUCUUCUCCGACGGUUCCUUCAUUCAGUCAGCACUCAGCAGCAAUGGCUGCAAUUGAAGCAGCAGCAUUCUCCAUACUUUCUUCUUCCUCUUCGCUCCCGUCAACUUCCCCUAAAUGCUCUUUGCACUUCCUUAAACUUCCCAUUUCCACCUGUGCCCUUCCUUUUUCCUCGAAACGCCCACUAUAUCCCCUCCCUCCACUGCACUCCGCAAGAAAACCAAGGUUCCAAAUAUGCUCAACCUCCACAAUUGAAGAAGUUGUUACAGUAGAAGAAAAAACAGAGCCAUCCGAAGAGAAAACAGAGUCAGCCCCACAAACCAAUCAGAAAAGAAAGCUUUUUGUGCUAAAUUUGCCAUGGUCCUUCACCGUUGCUGAUAUUAAGAACCUCUUUGCUGAAUGUGGCACUGUUACUGAUGUUGAGGUACUUCCAUGAGUGGGAUAUUUCUGUUAAAGAACUUACUUUGGAUGAAUUUGUUGAAGUUGAAGAAGUGAUUUUAGUUGGUGGUUCUUUUUUCUUUUGGGUCUGAAUUUGUUAUUGAAGUGAGAUUAAAUCGUGGGUUUUGUUUGUCCUGCAUAAUUUGUUAAUGAAGUUAUUUUUGAAUGGUGGGUCCUGUUUAUCUCGAUGAAUUUGUUAAAGGAGUCAUUUUGAAUCGUGUUUUCUGUUUUUUCUUGGAUGCAUUUGUUGAAGAAGUGAUUUUGAGUAGUGGUUUUUGUUUUUCUUGGAUGUGGCAGAUUAUAAAGCAGAAAGAUGGUAAAAACAGGGGCUUUGCAUUUGUGACAAUGGCUUCUGGGGAAGAGGCUCAGGCUGCUAUUAAGAAAUUUGACUCUCAUGUGAGUUGUUUUGGAAACUAAAUUUUCUGAUUAUUGUCUAUUAUCAGUGUCCUUUAAUGGUUUACUAGAUGUAUAGCACAAUGUGUUUGUUAUCAGAGUCGAAAGGAUAAGGAAAUAAUUGUGAUUGAGUGGGGGAAUGAGUGUGUAUUUGCGCAAAGUGAUGGGUAAGAGUAUUGGAGCAAUUUUGUUGAUAUUUACAUAUCUGACUUCCAAUAAUGUGAGAAAAUGGUAGUUUUGCUUCGUUAGUCAAUGAUAUUUGAAUCUUUAAGGUGUAAUUCUAGCUGCAUAUAAGAUACUCAUCUAUAGCUGGAUUUGAUGAGUUGUGCCUUCAUCUUAAGUUCUAAAAUUGUAUUUGUGAUGCAUGUUAUAAUAUAAGCAAAAUGAAAAGUCUAAUAAGAGGAAAAGAAAGAUGAGAAAGGAAAACUUUUGUUGGAUACUGUUGGGGCAGAAAAUAGGACAGAACACAAUUACAGAUCAUGGAUACACAUCUUUAACCUCGCACCCCCCCCCCUCCCCCAAAAAAACACCAGAGAAAGUUAUUUCCUUGUCACCCCCUUGCAAAAUACUUGAAGAAUGUUGAUAAAUAUUUUCCCUUGAUAUCCCUUCUUUUCUCCACAAGUUUUCCAUCCAAAUGAUAUUAAUAUUCUCAUCUCCGGAGACUUGUGAAUACUGAUAUAAUUUUCCUGGUUCAAGUGAGAGACUGGUAAUGUUUGUCAAAAAUUACGUAAUGUAAGAUAUAUCUUCAAAUCUGCAGAGGCUGUAAACCAUCAACAUUGCUUUUGUGCUGGCUAUCUUAAGGAAACAUGCUGAUUAUUUUUAAUCGAUAAUGGUUUUCUUAUUGACUGUCAACUAUGAAUUUAAAUUGUUCUUUCACUUUUCACUGGAGCAAUGACCUUCUAAGCUCUAAAGAAAUGAAUUCUUAUUUACUUCUUUCUGAUUAAAGUCCAAUAUCAUCUAUAUUUCAAAUGGCUAUGCAAAAUUUUUUUAGGAAAAAUCGCAUUGAAAACAUCCAACCUAAUUGAUAACAACUAUUAUUUUUGAUAAUUUUCCUUUAGUACUCGAUGUCUUUAGUCAUUUUGCCAGGGUAUACCAUGGGAUACACUAAUUACAACUUUUUACAAGUUUGAAUUCUUUGCUUGUGACUUUAUGUCAAUGAAAAAAGGGAUGUAUAAAGGGCUAUCUUUAAGUGAUCUAGUAGCAUAAUGUACAGCGAGGAAAUAUAAAUGUGGGGGAGUCCUUGGAAAUCCUUUGCUGUCUUAAUUUUCUUGAGGAAGAUGUACCAGUUGGCACUGGCCUGGGGUUUUUCUGCCUGGCAAGUUCUACAAGUACUCUGGUUGCUAAAGGUGAUUCUUCCGUGCUUCAGCAAUAAGUCCCCUUUUUCAUCUGUCCUUCCAUUUGAACAUGGUAAUAAGCAUGACUAAACCUUCAGGAAGUAGAUUGUAAGAAACUACAAAUGAGGGUAUAGAUUUGUAGCAAAAAUAGAAGAAAUGAUCAAUACUAUAAGGAUAGGGAAUGACAAAGAAUAUGCGUGCACGCCCAUGCAUCUUCUGCUAACUGAAUUGUGGCACUCUAAGAGGGUAUGAUAAAGGCUUUUAUUGUGUCUUUGACAAAGUGUCAAUCACUUCAAGGCUGCAGCUUAUGAUUGGUGGUAAGCCGCGUUGAUGAUUUCAUCAAAGACCUUCUUCAGAAUAGAGAGCAAAUUCCUGAGGAUUCAAGGUGGCCAUCAUUGUGCUUGGUUUCUUUUAGUUGUAAUAUUUUUGAGCAGGGGCUUUGAAGAAAGUAGUAUUUUAGGGGUCGAAAGAUUUCUGUGUAAUUAUUUUGUCUUCGUUAAUGUUAUAAAUGACACCAAGUAACCUUCAAAAGAAGAUAUAUUUGCUCAUUGACCUUGAGAAAGACUGAAGGCAAAUACACGCCUUUCCCCAUUUCCUUUGGUGUUUCUGUUUGAAUAUAUAUGUGUUCAUGAGUUCAAACAGAAGAAAGAUCUCUAACAACAUCUGUCCCAGUAUUUUAUUUAUGUUAUGUUUUGUGGCACAGGAAUUGUCUGGUAGGAUUAUCAGGGUAGAGCUUGCAAAGAGAUUCAAGAAACCCUCACGUUCACCUCCUGAGGUUCCUUCCCGUGGUGAGACCCGCCAUAAGCUGUAUGCAUCCAAUCUUGCCUGGAAGGUGAGGUCUAGCCACCUGAAAGAAUUCUUCUCUGCCUACAGUCCAGUUUCGGUUAGGGUUGUCUUCGAUAGUCCUUCAGGACGAUCUGCUGGGUAUGGUUUUAUCUCAUUUGCCACAAAGGAGGAAGCAGAAGCUGCAAUGUCUUCUUUGGAGGGCAAGGUAUUAACAAUAAACUAUUUCUGCUUCUAUUUGGUUGACUUUCUUUCAGCUGACUUGACAAUGGGGUUCACAGAAUUGUUUGGUGUGGAAACAAUUAUUUUUUUGUGACAUAAUUUUAUGCAUGUCUACAGCCUUCAAAGAACUCCAUCUUCUCCAAACUGCAUAUCAGUUUGUCUUGGUACAAUCCUCUAGCAGAGAGUGGGCAUGUAUAUCGGUAGCUCAUGGUAAGUUAGAAAGAUGUUAGAAUCAAUAUCAGGAACACAAGUAAUUUGAUUAUUUGAGACGUUGAUUGGGAUAUCCAAAUAUUGGAAACUAAAGAUCUAAACUAGAGGAGUUUUAAGUAUGCAUGUGCAGGAUUUGAAAUGGAGAGUAUGAUGUACUUAACUAAAGGGAUUACUGAUGUAGUUAAGAGUUAGUAGUUUCAUUGGUGGAUGGUAGGAGUGUAUAAGGUGAUCAUGUCUUCAAGGAAGGAAUAACAAGUGAUAUUUAGCUUUUAACAUGACGAGUUGGAUGAUGUUCAAGAUACCCAAACUUGGUUUUAUCUUCAAGUAUUAUUGCACCCUUUUGUGCAUCUCACUGUUACAGAUUUUGUAGAUACCCAACAAUAUACACUUGAAUAACAAGUGGUACUUACUUUUUAUUGCAAUCUUUUGUACUCGCUGCUAAAGACUUUUUACAUAUCCAACAGUCUACAGAAAUUCCAUGAGCCAAUGCCUAUUGAGCCUACUAAGCGUAGCACCUUCUCUAAAUUUUGUACAAGGCUGUCGAAGUAACCCUAGUAUGUGUAUUACAUAAUUUAUAUAUUUCAAUAUAGAGUGUACCUGAAGGACGUUGGGUUCUUCAGUAAAUAGCCAAUUAACCAUCACAAACAGAUUGUCAGAUUGAACAACUAAGUAGUGGAUAUUAGGAGCAUGGACACUCCUUUUGGGUCUGUGUAUGUUGAGAAGCAUCAAGUGGAAUUAGCAUUUUGAAAGAUGAUGUCAAAAGGAAGAAGAAACUGAUUUUGGAUGUAUUUCUGGUCGUUUUAGUGCAUUAAGUGGGGCCAGGAGUAAAAAGAGGAAUAAACUAGUGUAUAUGCUUAGCAUUUUAUUAGAAGGUUUUGCUAAGUCCUGAAGUUGAUGAGAAUACACGUUUUCUAUAUUCUAAUUGUGCACAAUCUGCACAUCUCAUGGCAGAAAUCUUUGGGUACAUAAACUUUUAUGCAGUGCAAAUUGUAGAAAUAUGGACUUUGGGGAUAUGCUUUUGGUCCCUGCUUGUCUGAUAAUAACCCUUACUGAGAGUUCUGCUUACUGGAGAUUCUUCAUAGAGAAACUCACUAGCUUUCAACAUUUCCAAUGAUUUGUAUUAAGGGUUACACCUGUAAUUGUUUAUGAAAUGGUAUCUUACUGGCAAAUUAGUUUUAUUCACCUCUAUGCUUUCAUUUCAUUUUCCUUGGUAAUUUUAUAGUGCUCAGAUUACAGUUUUAUUGCUGCUAAUCUUCACUUCCCUCCAAUGUAUAUACAUCUGCAACACUGGCAGGGUGAUCAACAAUUGUCUCUCCGUGUGAAACAUGAUUCUUUGGCAUGAAUUCUUUAAUUCUAUGUAACACAUUAAUUUAUGGUGUUAAUUCUCUAUGCUCUACAUAAUUUUUUGGCACGAGUUCAUUACAUUAUUUGUCAUCUUCGAUUUCCAUUUUGUAGGAGCUGUUGGGCAGACCUAUAAAAUUGAAGUUCAGUCAAAAGAAUGAUGACGAAUCUGAAAAUGAAGUGGAAGAAACGACCGAGGAACAACCUGCGGAUCAAUAGCUUCACACUGAUUCUGGCUUUGAUGAUGGUGCUUGCAGACAGAAGAGGAAAAUUACAAGUUAAGUUGAUGUUCUUCCUCUUAUCCUGUAUAUGAGCAGCCAGGAGCACCAUCAUCUACGUUUUUGCAUUUCCUUAGAUUAUACUCUGUAAGUACUCAAGCUAGCAGUCUGUAAUGGCCUUCGUCUGUUGUAUGAUAUUCUCCCUGCAGAUUUUACACUAUACAGUCUUAGCAACGUAGAAAUUGUACAAUCAUGAAUCUUGUGGCAGCUCAAUACUAGGCACAUAGUUUGUGUACACAAAUAUGAUUGUGAAAUCUCCAUAGCAAUUACUUGCAAAUAAAUGAGACUUUUCUUACUUUAGCCUUGGUGAAUCCUAGAAGUUCCAUUGAUAUGCUAUUGUGAGGCAAUGAAAAGAUAGCCAGUGAGUUGACCUAUUUUUCCCAAAAAAAAAAAAACACAAAUACAAGGUGUAAGGACUUCAAAUCAAUUGUUUAAAUUUGGUUUGAAGAAACCAAUAAUUUCAAAAUUCGACCUCCGAAUGGGGUGGUAAGUUGAAUGAUGCCUACGAUCUUUUUUUCCAUUCGAUAUGCAAAAGACCGAGGCAUCAAACAUCGAGUCAUGCUAAGUUCAAAACCAAUCAAGUUUAAUUCAUUUUUUUCUUUCAAGGACUUAAUAAAGCAAAGUGAAAAGUAGUGGAAAUGGAUAUAGGGAAAAUGAUCGGUUUCAUCCUUCACAUUUCACAAAAAUAUUCUUUUCAUCCCUCACUUUUAAAAUAAAGCAAUUUCGUUCUUGACAUUUAAAAACUAAAAUUAUUACAUUCCUGAACCUAAAUUUCAAUUUAAAUCAAAUCACCAAUCAACCUGAUUACAAAUUUUUGGGGUGUAAUUGGUAGAUCACUUGGUUAACUCAACUUGAUAUUCAUGUAAAAUUUAAUGAAUCUAAAAAGAAAAAAUUAUAAUAUAAAAAAGAAAGAUUAAUCUUUUCUACAUUAUCAUUGUAUAUACUGACGGUUUUAUGUACCGCCAUAUCAUUUUAAUUUAAAUUUAAACACCAAAUUUUAUAUUUAUGAUACACAUCUAGAUUCGCAAACGGAUAUACUAACGGUGCAUGAAAAGAUUUAUAUAAAAAAAAAAACUCUACUAUUCCAAGACAAAGAAUGGCCUUUUAUGUUAUAAUUUUUAUUUUUUUGGUUUAAUAAAUGCCAUGUGAAUACGAUGAAAUUGACCGAAUGAUCUAUCAAUUCUAUUUUCGAAAUUUAUUACUGGGUUAUUGGAUGGUUUGAUUCAGAUUGAAAAUUAGGUUCAUGGAUGUAAUAGCUUUAAUUUUUAAAUGUCAGGGACGAAUUUGCUUCAUUUUAGAAGUGAGAGAUGAAAAGAAUAUUUUUGCGAAAUGUGAGGGAUGAAACAGGUCAUUUUCCCAUGGAUAUAAUACAAGAUCUAAGUACAAAAUUUGGUUUGUUUUAUAAAGAUCUAUAGAGUUAUAAACACAAGAAAUGUUCCCCUAGAUAUUUUUUGCAAAUGUGACCCAAGUGUGGGUGUGCAAACGAGUCGGGUCAAGUCGAGUUUUAACCUAAUCGAACUGAGUCUCAACUUAACUUUAAGAAACUCAAACUCGACGAGGUCAAAAUGUCAAGUUCGAGCUUAAGUUUAAAAAAAAUAAUUAUUUUUAUUUUUUAAAAAUAAAUAAAAUAAUAAUUUUUCUUAACAAAUAAUAAUAUAUUAGGGAUAUAUAUGUAAUUUUACUAUUAAAAUAAAUAAAUAAAUAUAUAUAAUCGAGUUUGUGAACUAAUGGGUUUAAUAUUUUUGAACUCGAGUUCGACUUGAUCGACUCAAGCUUGGACUCGAGCAGCUUCGGAGCAGUUCAAUUCGUUUGCAACCCUACUUGAGAGUAGGCAUGUAUCCUUGUAGGGUAGUUGUGGGAUCAUACAUAUAUAUAUACUCACACACACAUGGAGGGAAUUAACACUUGCAGGUUGAUGGAUGUAAUUAUUUGGCCUGUCGCAAGCGUGAAGGACAACAAAUUCAGAAAACUGGACGAAGAUAUGCAUUGUCCUUGUGGGUUCUGCUUAUAUUGUUUGUUUAUGGAUAAACAAAUCUUGGUGGGAUAUACAUUGUCUCAGAGAAACAGAAAAGAGAAAACUUUCUUGGAGUUUAUAUAAUAUAUAUACACAUUUUGGAACAUAAAUAAGCAUAUGAGCUACCAAAAGAACAAGGGUUGGUCAAGAUAAACAGUCACCCUUUCUCCCCACCCUUUCUUUUACUUUUUAAAGUUACUGGGAUGUGUUUCUGCGUAGGAGUGAAUAAAUUCUUGAUUUUAACGCCAAUCAUAUUCUUGACUGAUUUUGAUUCGAGUCUCGAGUUACCAAGAAAGAGACCUGAUUGACAGGAAUACUCCAGCCCAUCAUAUUCUUUAUAUAUAUAUAGGGGAUAAUUGCAGAAACCUCCCCUGAGUUUUAUGGUAAUAGCAUUGACCUCCCCUAUGAAGUUUAAAAUAGCAAUCACCUCCCUAAAAAAAGACUGACACAAUUUAAUACAUUCUUCAUUGUCAAUUUACUAAAAUACCCUCACUAAAAUUUAAUUUUACCAAAGAAUGUGAUGACUUAAACCUAGUAAAACGUUUGUCAUUUUGAUAAUUGUAGUUUACACUAAAUUAACUAUUUAUGCAUAGUUUAACUAAAUAACUAAAUAACUAAUAAUCUAAUUAAUUAAUUAACUAAUUAUCUGUUGACAUAAAUAACCAAUUAACUUUAGAUGCUUAACUAAUUAUCUAAUACACUAAAUUUUUUUUUUUUUAAGUAAUUUGUUAAAUAGCCUGCCUGAAACCCGCUUGCGGGUUUCCCCUUUAUGUAAAAUGACUAAAAGCUGCGUUUCUGUUCUAUUUAUAUCAAACACAUACUCUCAAACCCUCACCUGAAGGGUGAGGAUGAGAGGGGAGGUUUUGCUGGGCAUCCUAGGGCCCUCCGAUGGGCAUGUGCAACUCAACGCAGCUUGCAUGUAAAAAAAAUUUUUUUUUUUUAAGUAAUUUGUUAAAUAGCCUGAAACCCGCUUGCGGGUUUCCCUCUUUUUUUUUUUUUAAAAAUAAAUUCUAUGCUAAAAUGACUUAAAACAAAAAUAAAAGACUAAAAGUAAAUAAAAACUAGCAUGAAAAAUAAAAAUAACAGUAAAUAAAAAUACACUAAAAAUUUGGUGUCUACAGUAGUUAAUGAAUAAUCUGGAAACAGAUUGAAUGAAGACUCAGAAGAAACGGAAGCUGGUCUCUUAUUAUUAAAGAGUGAAGGCUAAAAUAGGCAUAUCAGGUGAAAGUUUGUGGUGGAAAUCUGUUUUUCGCAUAUGCACGCGCCUUUGCAGUUCGUUUAAGACACACGCCGAAUAUUUGACGAUUUCCGUCCACUUUUCAGGUUAAUUCAAACCACGGGGUAUCGACUGGUAUGAUAUGAAACCACAAGGGGUUUUUAUGUAUGAUUGCCUAACCACAGGGGGCUUUUUUGUUGUUUACCCAAAAAAGUAUAAUUUGUUGGGGUUGUUUUCAGACUCAGAAAUCUUCAAUGUUGCCUUUCUAUUGCACCAGCAAUAUUUGUUUUGUAUUGUGAAGGAUGUAGGAGAGUUCCAUGAUGUUCUCCUGUGGCUGGAAGAAGCCAUUUUCUGAUUUCUGCAAUAUGACUUGAAACUGCCAAACUGAGUAUCAAGCAAGCUGUGUUUUGAGCUGGAAAAUUGCUGCUGCAUACAUGAGUCCAGAUUCUGGUAUUCAUUUUGCUACUGACCAUCGUUUAUAAGCUAGUGCCUUAGUUACAUCAAUUAGCCGUUAAGUAGCCGUUGGUUUCUCAGCAAAUGAAGUUGUUGUAGGUCAUCAUCUGGAAGCAUGUUGUUGCAUUUAUACCCCCUGAACUUCCUUGUGCUUAAUGAAAAAGCCCCUCCCUUGUUAAUACUACUUGUCAACCAACAUCAGGGCAAAUUUGGAACAAAUUUUUUAUCUCACUUGUACAGCUAAUUUUUUAAUGGGAAUUGAAGCUGCCUGGACUGAUUUUGCAACUUAAUGUUCCUGUUGAGGGGUGCUAUCUGCCAUUUCAGAACUUAGAGGGGAGCUCAGUGCAACUGUCAGUAGUUUCAGGGGAGGUUUCUGCAAUUUUCCCUAUAUAUAGUUGCUGAUUAAAAAAAUUAGUGCUUUAACCAAAAAGGAAAAAAAAAAUCAGUCACCAUGAUUCAUCUCAACAAAAGCUAGUUAGCUAUAGGAAGAGACAGAGUAGGUCAUUUUUUAGAUAAGUUAAGGAGUAAAAGUACUGUAGAAGUGAUUGAUUGGUCAAAAAAAAAAAGAGAAUAUAUGCCCUGUGUUAAGUGGCGUUUACUCUUCUUCCCAUUUAUAGGAUUCUCGGACCUAUAGGACUAUGAUGCCCCUUGGAAAAUGAAGGUGACGAAUCAUUUGACAUAUUCAGAUUUUUCUAUCAUGCUAUAUCCUACGUUACCUAGAUCCUCAUCUUUUCCAGAUACACUGCACGGGUAGCAUAUAGUCAUAUAGUACCAAAAUUUUGUUGUUUUUUCAAGGGAAAAUCAGCUAGUUUGUCUCCAAUUUUCAAUCGUGCUGAAUAGAACAUUCCCCUUUAAAUCAUUCUCCCUCCUCUCUUUUCUUUCUUCUUUUUUCUUUUAAAAAUUUGUUCUGUAUUUUUGAUCAGCUAGCUUUUAUUUGUCUAUUUAUUCAUUUAUGGACACAUUUGGUCAUCUAGCUUUGAAUGAUACUCUUUUUUUUUUGGGAAAGAUAGCUUUGAAUGACACUGAUACCCUACUGAUCUUUUAUCUAGUUCUGCAAAGUCGGGCAGGUUCAAGUCUUGCAGCUGACUAUGAUUUCAAUCACUGGUUCAGGUAGAUCUAACUUGAUGGAUGGCUGCAAUUCAAAUCAGAUUUCGAUGUCUCACAUCAAUACAGUUUCUGUUGUUUCAACUUUCUAUUUGUCGGUGAAGAUAUGGUAAAUUGUGUCAAUUUCACAUCUUUAUCUUUAUGGAAAAAGGGCAACUGUCUCGCUCUGAAUACACAUGCAAUGUGAUAUUCAUUCAGCUACUUCACUUUGGCUAGUGGCCUCUUGAACAAUGAUAUAAAAGCAUUGAUUACUUUGAUGAAUUCCCAACCAACAUGACCACCCUAGCUCUUUGUCAACAAACCAUUAUCUGAAAAAAAGUUAAACAAAGGAAUUAAUAAAGAAAAGAAAAGAAAAGAAAGAGGAAAAGAAAAUGGACUAUAACCAAUCAAAGAACAGUCUUCCUCGGCUUUCUAUCCAAGCUGCUUUUUUCUGCUUUUCCACCUUCAGCCUUCAGCUCAUAUUUUCAACAAAUGUCCCAUCAGAGCACUCUCUCUUAUUCUUCAUACUUGAUACUUGCUCUUCAAUCCUCUCAAACUUUCCUCAAUUUUCAUCUCAAAUCAUGUUAUAUAAUUAAAUGUGCUCCCUCCCUCCCUCCAAAAACAGUUCUUAUCACUGCAUAGAUAAGCAAACAUUUACUUUCGUACUUUGCUUAUGUUUUUGUGCUGUGAUAAACCAGGCAUUAGUUACUAUUCUCUGAUCUUUCUUUCUGUCUUCUGUUCAAGAUGGGUUCUAUGGCCAGCCCAGAACCUUGGGUUGCUUACACAAACACCAAAGAUUGUUCUCAGGGUUUUUGUAGUGUUUACUGCCAACAAUGGUGCUAUAAGGAAUUCCCUCCUCCACCUCCCUUUGAAUUCCCUCAUGCAAGUGCUGGAAUUUGCUUUCCACCUUUUGUUAUUGCCAUUAUAGGCAUUUUGGGAAGUGCUUUGCUUCUUGUGAGUUACUAUGCAAUAGUUUCCAGGUAUUGUAAGAAGAGAGAUUCCUCCAGAAGGAGAGAAACUCACUUCCCAAUUGUAGAAUCAGUGGAGAAUCAACAUCCUUCAAACCAUGAGCCCUGGAUUGUUUCUUCUGGCAAUGGCUUAGAUGAGGCUCUGAUCAAGUCUAUUACACUGCUCAAGUACAAGAAAGGAGAUGGCCUAAUUGAAGGGACGGAUUGCUCGGUUUGUCUAAGUGAAUUUCAAGAUGAUGAAAGCUUGAGGCUUUUACCAAACUGCAGCCAUGCUUUUCAUGUAAUGUGCAUUGAUACUUGGUUCAAAUCUCACUCGAAUUGUCCAUUAUGCCGUGCAAACAUUGCUUUUGCCAAUGCUUCUUCUCCUCCUCAAUUGCCUCCUGUGAUGGAAUCUCCACCAGGCAAUGAGUCCACAUUGCAUAGCGAUCACGAGAUUGAGAAUGCUUCUGAAGAAGACUUGGAGAUGGGAAUCAGAGAAGCAGAAUCACAGAAUGACAUCACGAGAAUUUCCACCAGACACGCUACCAAUUUGGCCACUUCAGGAGAUCACAGCAGACUAAGUGGCGUUACAAUUGAAGAAUGCGAAAAAAUAACAAGAUCAGUGUCUAUGGAUUGCACAAGUCAGAGGCGAUUAUCGUUAGCUGAUGUUUUGCAGAUUGAUCAGGACGAAGAAGGUCAAUCAAUGGAAAAGAUCACGCUUAGAGAUGAUGUUGGGACAUCAAAACAACCACAUGUAGAUAUGAUCAGGUCUAGCAAUAGGAAUAUAGUGUUGCAUUGUGUCUCAAGCCCUGCUAUUCUGAAGAAACCAUUUUCGAGUGCUAGAUUUCUUUUCACAAACGCUGGAAGGGAAGGCAUGAACUAAUUCCCCUGUGAAAUUUUGGAAAAUACAUUAUCAAAACGAAAAGAAGAAAUGUCAUUGAGCAAUCAAAGCUCCUAUUUUAUUAUUCUUGUUUUGCUUGUCCUUAAAUUUUUGUUUCCUGCACCAGAGAAUAAUGUUUUUGCCUUGAAUUUUUGAGGUCCAAAAAGCAACUAAAGUGAAGAAGCUUGCAUGGACAGCACUUGCAUGUUUCUCCUUUCUUCUUUACAAUUCCACUCUUAGUUUCAAUCUAUUACUUGGCCAUUCUUGGCAUUUAUUCAUCCAGAUGAAGAAACCAGCUCUCGUUCAGUGUUUUGUUUUUCGUUCUUAUUGGCACAUGCAACACCUUACCCUUUAUUUAUGUUCUUCAUCACAAGUGCCAUAAAUUAAUGGUAGGCAAUCUGCAUUUGCAACUGAAAUUUGGACUCUUGAAUGUUUCUAUUGCUCGUGUUUAUAAAUCCACCAGUUCUUCUGAUAUUAGUGUUUGAAGAUUAGAUUUGGACUGCUUGAACAAAAUGAAAUACUCAAUAGUUUUUAAUAAUUUCUGAUUAGAAGACUAAACCAAGAGUUACUAGUAAAUAAAUGUUUAAUUAAUUGCCUUGAGAAAGAUUGCUUUGUCCAGCCAAGUAACUUUCUCUGUGUGGGAUGUUUUGAUGAAUAUUUGGUAAUUAUAACAAUCUAAAAAGAAUAUUUAAUAUAUUGGACAAGUAAGCAUGGCCUCCUCAAAAUCAUUAUAGCAAGCCAACAAAUGGCCCAAAAAGACAUUCUUGACGUUUGAGCUAAGUUACAUAAUCAUAUCCUCAAAAGAAGAAAAAAGAGAGAAGACCAGAAAAAAAGAAAGAAAAGAAACCGAGAAUCAUGCCCAACAUAAAUUCCAGGUUGGGACAAGUUUAUGUACUAUAUUAUUCAAACUUCUUCUUUUCGUGCAGUAUCAUGGAUUAUGACAAAUGAAAAGGAAAGGAUAAUAGUGCCCUUCAGAUUUGGCCUUGCUGCAAAAUUGUGCUUAAAACAUUAACCCGUUAAACAAAAUUCUGCCCUUCUAUUAGUGCCCUUUGUUCAUUACACAAAUACUACUACAUAUUCUGGCUGAUGAUCCCAUGGCGAAUGAUUGCCAAACCACGCCUUCAUUUAUGCACUUGCUGCUUAAAAAAGUUGUUGAGCUUGCUUGCAUGACCUCUUGGCGGGGUGCAAGGAGGGUUUUCGGAUUCCCCUUCUUACAAAUGUUCAAUCAAGUUGUUGGUUAAGCCAAAAAAAAAAAAAAAAUCCUAACGUGUACUUAAAUUACACCUAACCUACCAUGUGAAUACGUAAAAUCAUAAUUAUUGCACUCGUGCAUUUAGGCCUUGUUUCAUAACCCAGUUCAACACUUAAAUUUAAUGGAUUUAUUUGAUAACCAAAAUUGAAUAUCUAAAUUAAUUAAGUGGCAUUGAAUUUUCUAGGCAAAACUUAUUUCCAAAAUUAAGUGAUAAACUAUUCACUUAUUACUGAAUGUGAUGUGCACUCAAAUGUAUUAGAUUUAAUAUUUAAAAAUUUAAUAAUUUAAUAGAUUCAAAAUUCAGAUUCCAGAUUCCAGAUUUCAAAUUUCAGUUUUCAAACUUUACUUUUAUCAAACGCACUCUUAAAUAUUUUUUCAGAUUAACUGCUAACUAACAUCUAAAACCCCUUUUAACGAACACCCUUAAGCCCCCCCCCCCCCCCCCCCAAAAAAAAAGGUUACCUUGUCAGAUUAGUGGAUUUGUUGGCCUAUGCCACCAGUAUUCACACCUAGAUUUUGUCAUUUUGUCAUCCAAAAAUAUUAUGGUGUGUGAGAAAUCCACAUAUAAAACAAAGGGUAUAAAUAUUUUAAACAACUUUUGGGGAGUCAGAAUUGUUCGGAAAAUUGCGUUUCAAGUGGGGCCUAAACUCUGCUAACUGAUUCCUGAACAAAGUGGCGGGAAGGGUGGGCACUGAAGAGUGAAGGCGAAAGGAAACAUGACAUCGAAGAGGUAAACUAGAGUUAAUACAAAUUUUUACAAAAAAACAGUAGUCCCAGAUCGAAGGCUGUUUACCAAGAACACCUUUAUAGAUGCUACUGUCCAGCACCGGCAAAACUCGCCAACCAGGAGACUCUUCGAACGCGGUGCAAGGAGGGCUUCCCAAUUCCCAUGAUCGCCUUCUUAGGCUUUUGGCCCGUGGAACUAGUAAUUGUUUUUAUGGGCUAAAGAAGUGGGCUUUGACAAAGUUCCAUUUGUAGUUUUCUUCGCAAUGCUUUAAAACUCAAUCCGAACCAGCUGGUUGAACCAAUUGAACCAUCAACUAGCCUCCUUUUUGGUCUGAAUUUGCUUAAAAAACCUAUUAGUAUCAAUUUAUAUCAGUUAAAUCGUCCGAUUCAACCACUGAAUCAUUGACUCGAAACGGUUUUGUGAGAACCGAUUGGUUCAAUAUCGAACAUUGAUUAAGCCAACAAUUUUAAAUUUGGUUAACUAAUCUUAUUAAUGAAAUUCCAAAUUUAAUAUUUUACCAAUUAUUCAUGCAUAAUUAUCUCCAAUUAAUUAGACAAUAAUAAUUAUUGCCUUAUUCUACUCAUUUCUCUCUCUCCUCCAUAAUUGCAUAUUAACUCUUGUUUAACAUUUAUAACAUUUAAUUGACUAUAUUAGUUUUUUUCUCGAGAUAACUCCGAUGCCUAUGUUAGACCAUAGGGAGUUCAGGAGUUGAAGGCAAGUAUAUAAGUUGACAAGUGGAUGAUUUUUUUGGGGUGUUUGGAAGAGAGAUAUUUAUACCCGCAAACCGUAGUAUGAAUCUCGAAAAAUGAAAAAUGAAAAAUGAUGUGAUAGUAAUAGGGGUAUCGUCGCUCAAACCCUAAAUGUGUAAUAUCUGUAAGAUAUCAGAUUAGGUGUCAGAUGCGAGUGUCAGCCACGUGUCAGCGAGAGACAGCUCAGCAAAUCCAAGAUUGUGUGAGACUUCGAUAGCUGCUGCAAGACGAAGAAGGUAACCAAGUGGUCCCACAAUAUUAUUUCUAAACAAUUCAACAUUCUCCAAAAAAAGUUAUAUUUAAAAGAGAAGAAGGUAUUGUUUCUAAAAGUUUUAAUUGAACUUCUCAAGUUCACCACAGUAAAUUAGAGGGAAGAGUUCCAUUUAGUAACUUAUGCAUGGAGCCCAAAAUUUGUUUGUUUUUUUUUUUAUAAAGGCUACCUUGUUUGGAUUAUGAUUUUUCACAAAAAAAAUUUUACAUUUUCUAUUAAUACAUCUCCUAAUCACAUUUUUAUCUCGCAUAUAUUCGUUUUUCUAUAAAAAAAAAUAUCCAAAAGUAGCAAUCGAAACAGGAAUAGCAAUCGUUAAAUUCAUGACAACCAAUUUGAACUUCAAAUUCUGCAUAUGUGUUAUGCAUCUUAUUGUGAUACUAUAUACACUAUAAGUAAAUGUAAGAUUAAUUCAAAAAAUAAGUACUUUAUUUUUAAGAUUUUUUUUUUUUUUUGCACAUUGACGGUGCAUAAAGUAACGGGUGUUGAUGGCUUGAAGAAUAUCAUAUAUGUAAAGAAAUUAAAAUUAAAAUUUAAUUUAUAAUUAAGUGAUAUACAUUCAAACCUGUCGAUGUAUAUCCUCACUAUAUACAAGAUUUACCUUUGUCUUUAUAUCAAUAGUUUAGCUCAUAACAUAAAAGGCAAUAAUUUUGAAGAUAAUGCCAGUUUCAGUGGUUUUGGUUCUGACUUCUUGUUUCCAAUGCAGAUUGAUCAUCUGGUUUUUCUACUGUACUAUGCUCUAACAACAUAAUAAGGCUUAAUUUUAAAUCUCUGUUUCCACAACUAAACUUGUACAAACUGGUUGAGACAUUCAUCAACUGUGGUACAUUUCACAUCAGCAAAAAGCUUCCAUCCUUAGACCGCAGAGCCAGUCAUACUUGUCAUUUUUCUUUUCCCUUUUUUUUUUCUGAUCAUCCGGUUAAUAUCUUUUUUACCAACUGAGUUGGGUUUGGGAACACAAAUUUCUUCCAUUAUAGGAGAUUUUUGUUUGGCAUCUAGAGGUGGUGGAUUCAUCUGGACAUUAGCUUUCUGAAAUGGCCUAAUUUGGUGCUAAGUCAAUGAGCUCAAACUAGACGUUAUAGUCUAGGUCCCCCUAAGAUUCUUGUUGGAUAAACUUUAAAUUGUAGAAAGGAAAACCCGUGAAGGCCAUUAAUGCCAAAAAAUUUGCAUUCAUUCCACUAUGUUUCAUUCCCCGUGAUCCCAUAAAUUAGCUUUCUUCAAUAAUCCACCAACCCAUCUUUGAUUCUGCCAUCAUAUUCAGUAUUCACCAACUUCAUUUCGUGCACCAUAAACAUGAUAUCCCAGUGUUACAAAAAGCCCACAUUUUCUUCCUAGCAAAUGAUCAAUUCCUCCGGAAAAUCUGUCCAUCUAUGCAACAUGGAUAAGUUUUCCUCACUCAUGGAAACUCAUCUGCUGCUCAUCUUAGUAUGCAUUCCUCUGGGCAGGUCCUUGACGGUGACCGUGCCCGAUUCCAGCUCGCCAUCAGCCCUAGUCGACGGCCCACAAACUGCAUUCACCGUGAACAACAAUGGUGCUCGGACAGAUAUCCGCGAACAAGAAGCAGUUUACGACAUCAUGCGAGCCACCGGGAAUGAUUGGGCCACCGAUAUACCGGACAUUUGUCGCGGCCGGUGGCACGGGAUCGAGUGCAUGCCGGACAAAGACAAUGUGUAUCAUGUAGUGUCCCUUUCCUUCGGUGCGUUGUCUGAUGAUACUGCAUUUCCAACUUGUGACAUAGCCAAAUCCUUCAUUUCACCUUCCAUCACAAAACUCCCACACCUGAGGACUUUGUUCUUCUAUCGCUGUCUUACUAACAAUCCUCAGCCCAUCCCAUCAUUUUUGGGCCGGUUGGGAAAAAGCCUACAGACUCUGGUCCUAAGGGAGAAUGGCCUUGUUGGGCCCAUCCCAAAUGAGUUGGGAAAUCUCACCCGUUUGAAAGUGCUUGAUCUUCACAAGAAUGAGUUAAACGGUUCGAUACCCGGUUCACUUGGCCGGAUCACCGGUCUAAGGUCGUUGGAUUUGAGUGGAAACCAACUCAGCGGUCUGAUUCCUGACCUAAGCUUCCCUCAAUUGAAUGUGCUAGACCUCAACCAAAAUCAUCUUGUCGGUUCAAUUCCCACCACUCUCAUGAAUUGUCCUUCGCUGAUAAAAUUGGACAUGAGCCGUAAUUGCCUAUCCGGUCCAAUCCCUGAGUCAAUCAGCGGUCUAGAGAACCUAAUUCUCUUAGACUUGGGCUACAAUAGUCUCGCCGGUCCACUUCCAGCGUCCCUGAAAGAAUUGAAUUUCCUUCAAGCUUUGAUACUCAACGGCAACCCGACCAUGUCCACCACAAUCCCAAGCUCCAUAUUUGAUGGUCUGAAGGACUUAGUGGUUCUAAUAUUAUCCGAAAACAAUUUGCAGGGAAUAAUACCCGAGUCACUCGGCCGGUUGAGAAAGAUUCGAGUUAUCCAUCUUGAUGGGAAUAAGUUGAAUGGUUCAAUUCCAGCGAGUUUUGGGGACCUGAAUGACCUCAGUGAGCUAAGGCUAGACAAUAAUUUGUUAAUGGGACCUGUCCCAUUUAAUAGAGACAUGGUUUGGAGGAUGAGAAGAAAAUUGAGGCUCAACAAUAACUCCGGUCUAUGUUAUGAUACGAAAAGUGGGCUUGGAGAUGAUCUUGCUGCACAAUCUGAUUCGGUCAUUGGAAUUUGUGAGGCAUCCAAAUAUGGAAUGGUAACAAAAACCGUCCGACAUAUUUCUACUAUUGAUGGAACAGAGUUGGGGCUGUUAGGUACCAAAUCAGCUGGUAGAGUUCAGAAGCCUGCAGUCGCUUGUUUCAUGCUGCUACAACUUGCGAAUUUUCUUCUGUUUGCUGUUUAUGUAAUGUGACACUUUGGAGGGGAAAGCUAGGGAGGUGUAUAAAGUUAAUACCAGCGUUAUUAAUCUAAAUGGUCAGUAUAUAUCUAAAUGUUUCUAGAAAAUAGGUUUCCACACAUUGUAGAUUCCAAAUUUGAUCCCGUAAAUAUAUUGUGAUCUUGCAUGUAAGCAAUUUUCCUCGAGGACUUAUAUUUGAACAGUGCGAACUGGGAAUUUGAAGCCAACAACCCCCUAACGUUUCAUAUCAGUUUAACAGGAAAAAGAAUUAUUCUGGACAUAGACUAAUAUUGCUUACUUUACUCUCUACAAUAUUUGUUUUACCACCGGAUUAUGGUCUCUUUCCUGAUACCUUAGGACUGUUGAAAGGUUUUGCAACGACCCAGAGCCAAAUUUUGGCGAAAAGGCAGCAAAAAUGUAUAAUCCCACGAGUUCAAUUAAGGGGGGAAGAGAGCUAUAAUUGCGGUGUUUAUUUUUUCAGCAUCUGUAUUAAUCAAAGUACUGUAUAUUUGCACUUUCAAGAUACUCUAAGUAAUAUAUGUUUUCACUUUUAUCUUUCCCACACCCUUCGUAUCUCUAACUAUCAGGUUUAAGAUUUGAAUUCUGAACCUGAGUUUGGAGAGAACCUUAAAAGUUACAAAUCAUUAGACCGACUCUAAUAAUUCUCUAUAUAUAUUUCGUCAUUCCAAAAGUUAAAUAUAAUGUAAAACACGAGCUUAGCUGUCUACUAUAAUAAACUAUCUUCUGCAGGCCGUGUCAGGCACUCAUUCUAGAAGGCCUAAACGAUGAACUGUUAAUAAUCGAUUAGCACAAAUCUGUAAUUACCUUUUCCUUUCGCAUGGAAGCUGCCAUGAAUUUUAUGGUCAUAUCAUUUACGCCCUACUCUUUUAGGGUGAUUUCUUAAAAAGAUGUAGCUCAAGAACAAAAUCUUUCAAAGGGCUCCGGAGUUACAUUGGGCCGGAUUGGAUCUCGUCACUCCCAGACCCGCUAGCCCACCAUGGACAGGGUAAGCACUUUCAACCUAGGUUGGAUGGUGUGUCGGGGCGAAAAUGGUAGGGACUCCGGAUCUUGGAUUGCUCCUGGAUCUUGAUGGGCAGACGGUUCUUAACCAUCCAAUGUUUCACACGGUGGCUCCAUCCAUCAAACAACUACUUUUUAGACUUUUCCCCCAUUUGAUUGAAGAUUUUUUACUUUUAUUACUGUACAGUAGAGGUGUGAUUCGAACGAAUUUGAACGGGUUAUAACUGGAUAUUGGGUAUAAUCAAAUCAACUCAUUUAUACCCAUUGGGUCAAAAUGAUUACACUCAUUUAAGAAAUGGGUAUGGAUAUAUCUAAUUACGCGUUUAUGACUCACUUAAAAUUCUACUUAUUUUUUCAAAUUUUUUUCACAUGUUGUUAGAGAAAAAAUAAUGACAUUUCAUUGUUAUUACAUUGAUAAGAAAUUCAAAUUUAUGUGCUGAACACCCAAUAAAAGUUGCUAAUUUUAUAUAACUUACUAUUUCAGACGAAAAACUUACCAACGAAUUUUUAGUCAUUAUCCUAUAUAGGUGGAUGAGUCCAACAAAUAAUGAAAAUGAUCGCUAAAAAUGUGAUGACCUAUAAUAUCGGGUAAAAAUCGUCUCGUUACUCUGACGAUCCUUACCGAAGCAUUUUCCCCUAGCUGUCGUCUAGUUAACAUCAAAAUAGAUCAUUUAGCCAAAUUUAGAUUGAGAUGAAUUUGUUUAUAUACGUACAUCAAUUUGUAUGAACUUUGUUGAAAAUAACAUCCAAAUCAUAUUUCUUCAUGUUAUUAAAUUAAUUGUACGUUCCGUAAGGUUAUUAUAUUUCAAGGGUUUUUGUUCUAUUUUAUCCCUCUUAAAUAUUUGAACCACGAGGAUCAGUAAAUCUGGUGAGUUUUGUUCGGCAAGUCCUGUUAAGGUAUGCACCACAUUUGUACCAAGUGCAAGUAGUUAUUUUAAUUACCACACAAAGUUAAAAAACAAACCAUUGCAACAACAACAACAAGAACCUCAUCUUGAAUCGUGUGAAGGAGAAAUGUUCACCUAGUCAUCCACUUCGACUGGUUGUGCCAAUAGGAACUUACUAACUAGUUACACAAUGGAUCAUGCAGAGUUGCACAAACAUGCGAUGUGCAGGCUGUAGCCAGCUACAUCCAAAUGAUACUUCAUUAACUAAGAAACUUGUAGUUGUACUGCAUGGUAUAUAAUUAAUGUAGUAAUUUAAUUAGUGGGAUUUGAUCAGUUUCUUCGUCCCUCUCUCUCCCUUUCCUUCUGCAAUCCUUUGCAUGCAAAGGGGUCCAUCAACGUCUCUUUCUGCUUCCACAAGAUGACAUGAACCUUAAUGAGGUUACAGAAUAAUCCCACACUAACCAACAAAACUGAAAGCUAGAGAAUCAACGCAUUUGCCACUCUCAUCGAUCCCAUAAAUUUCUCCGUACCAUUUUGCUCUUGCCCUCCAUUUUCAUCUUUUGUUUUAUUUUGAAUGAGAGCCGCACCCGGCGCCACCACCGGAUGCCGUAAUAUAACAUGCAUGGCCGGUGAUUGAAACAUGUCACAAUUUACUUGAACAGAGACAGCGAAAUAUCACCAUUGACAGAAACAUGGACAGAUGCUGAUCUAUUAUGGUCACGAAAAAUUGAAUAGAUUUACACGAAUUAACCUAAGGUGUACAAACAAUAGAGAGCUAUAUAUAUAUGCUAUUCUCUCUUCUUCUUCUUUUUUUUUAUAAUAAAGAGGAUUAACAGUAAAACUCUACCUACCUUCUGGUGAUUUGAACCCAGAAUUGGUUAUCAACAAAGUUACACUAUUGUAGUCACAUAUACUAUAUGCUAUAUGUUCAUGUUACCUGUAGAUCACUAUGUAAAUAGAAUAGGUACAUUUUUUGCGUAAUUUAUCAAAAGAUUCUGAGAAAAUGUGAUGCACACGUAAAAUGAAAUAAGUGUACAAUGGGCAGUAUAGAGGUUUACUAGAUUGUGCUUAGGCCGUCAAACAAGCUUCUAAGGCUGCAUAAGCAAACGCAUCCACAAUGGCGGGCACAGCUCACAAACAAAAAGCAGACCGAAGAGAGAGAGAGAGAGAUGGUUACCGGCCGCAAUGGCUAAGUCUAGUUCCGAUGACUGCAGAAAUGGACCACACAAACUCACACUCACAUAUAUAGUAGUAUAUAUACCAUCAGCGGCUGUAGAUUUAUCAUCUUUUUGCUGUAAUGAUACAGGCUAGACACCUUUUAGGCUGGUGUCUCUUGGCCUUUGUUUGCAAUAAUUCACAGAAAAUAGUUGCUGAGAAAUUUUUUUGGUUGAAACUGAAUUUGACCUAUCAUAUAUGUAUAUAUAUGCAUGAUAGCUACUCCCUAGGCACACUGGCUAGAUGGCAUCAUCUGUUUUUUCGUGAAAAUCUUGGGCAAAAGCUGUUAGUUAACAUGGACUUCACAAUCCCUAUACUUGGUAAUUUUGCAGUGGAAAUUCUCUCUUUUCCAUAUAUAUAUAUAUAUGUGUGUGUAGUCGCGCGCAUUUUAGGCUAAAGCUUUGUGUUACUGAGUAGGGGUGUACUCGAGCCGAGUCGAACUUGAGUAUUGCUAUACUCAAGCUCGACUCAGCCUAUAAUAUAAUUAUACUCGAGCUCGAUCGAGUCGGAGAAUCUCAACUCGAGCUUGACUCGAGGAAAUCUUUAAAAGCUCGAGACUCGACUCGAUAAGGCUCGACUUUGAGUCAAGCUUAUCGAGUUGAGUAAAUUGAUCAAUCGAGCUUUUUGAUUAAUCUUGUAAAUUCAGUAUAAAUUAUACCCAUAACGGUCAUUUUAUAAUUAUAAUACAUAUAUAUUAUUUAAAUUAUAUAUAUAUAUUGUUUAAAUUAUACUACUCAACGAGUAGCUCGUCAAGCCAUGAACUGUAAAAAUUCGAGUUCGAACUCGACUUGAAUGUAUACUCGAGUAACUUGAGACUCAGCUCGAACUCGGUUUGACCGAGUUCGAGCCAAGUCAUUGACUGAGUUGCAAGCGAGCCGAGCUAGUUACGAGAUAACAUGGCGCUUCAGAAGUUCUUUUACUUGGAUUCAUGCACAAUAUAAGUAUUUUUUUUUUCCGAUUUAGAUCACAAGGGAAGGAUGCAUUGAGGAUAAAAUGUUACAUUUAGACGCAAUGAUAAAAGGAUGCAAAUGAUAGCUUAACCAAUUAUUCGAGUUCUAGAGAUAAAAUCUUGUUCAAAUUACUUAAAAAGAAAAGAUUUUUCUAAAAUUAGUUGUUAAAUCAAGACUUUAUAAAAUUUAGUACAUGUUACCUUUUUAGUCUCACUCAAUCUUAUAGUGAUAAGUACAAAAUCUAAGUCAUAAAAGCAUCAACCUACUCAAAUUUGGCUUAAUAAUGUUCAUCUUAAAGCCUUUGCAUCUAACUAAGCCACAAACUUAAACAUUCAUUUCAAAAUUAUUUAAAAUUAGAACUAAACUUCAACAUAAAUAGGAUUUUUUCCCUAAUGGUAGCAAUAUUAGCGCAUCACUUUUGUUACUGACGCUCCACAAUUUUUUACAUGUUAAAAAAUGGUCAAGAAUAUGUCAUUCUUAUAUGUCAUCAUUUGAGAACUGACUUAUACAUAUUUUCUUAAAAUUAAAGGAAUUUGAAAAAUAUAAUAAUGUAUGUAUCACUAGGAUUCCAUUUGGUGUUGCAGUACUUUUGGCGAAAAGAUGGCGGUCAUUAUUUGUUAGAUUUAGGAGUAGAAUUUUUUAUCUUUAAAGCACUUCUAACAUAAAUUCAAAAUUAGUGCUUUUAGAAUACAUUUUAUAUUUUUACAAAUAAAAAUAACUUUCAACCAUUUUAUCAUAACUUUGAAUUGAAUAAAGAGAUAAGUAUAUUUCAAACACUUAAAACUAAACAUUGUGAAACACAAACUACACUCUUGUAAGUAUGUAUCCAAAAUAUAAUUAAGCUAAUGAUACCUAAUUAAUCAAAUGCUACAAACAAGUGAAUCUAACGUCCCCCAAAUAACAAUAGCUGAAUCUUGUUCCAUGAAUUCUUUUGGGUUGAAAAGUAAAAGAAAAACAAAUUGUCUACAAAUUCUUAUCUCUCAAAGAUUUUGAGGGUUAUUAUAAACAUAUUGUAUCGUCUGGCAUAUGCAAAAAAAAUAUCAACAAAUUAAGAAGCCAUGAAUUAAAAAUUACAAGUCUUUUGAUGUAUGAUCAGAUACAUACAAGAAAUAAAUAUUUCGAUAAAAUUUUCUUUUUAAAGUGAAUUAGCAUUGUGUAGUUGCAAAUUUUUUACUGCAGUGGCAUGUCAACUUCUCAUUACAAAAGAUGAAAGGCCUACGGACAGCCCUUUUUGCCUAUUGUGAACUGAGCUGCAGGCUACAACAAGGACACCAAAAGUUUUUAGAAAGAAUGGAACCUUUAAGUUUUGGUGAUCGAUCAGGGAAACUUUUUAUUUUUUUAUUUUUUGCCACAACACAGAGUCUAAAUAUUAAGCCAAAUUAAUUUCUUCCUCACAAAAGCAUAUUUCGGCUUAAUUUCGCUGUUAAAUCAAGACAAAGCAAAACAGCCUUAGCCUAAUUCACUAAAUAACUAUUCUAUGAUGCCGUGGUCUUUUUUUUUUUUUCAUAUCUAUCUCAUAGUCAUAGUCUUGCCAAAUGUGUAUUUUGGUAAAUCAGAACGAAAAAGAAUACAACAAAAUUAUCUUAGUGGAGAUAAUAAUCUGUAUAUCCUUUGGGAUCUUGCUGAAAUUUCUGUUUACUAGAACCCGGUUGAAAAUCGAAAAGACAAAAAAAAAAAAAAAAAAAAAUUUUGGUCAUGGAAACCUAGAAUGACAAAAGGAAGAAAAAGAAAUGAAAGAAGAAAAGAAUUUAGUUCACUUAUUGCAGUUGAGAAACCAAACCAAACCAAAAAAGAAAAAGAAAAGAAAACCCACUGUUGAAUUGUACUAACGGUAGCCUUAGCAAAAUUAUAAGCUUUGAUACAUACAAAGGCCAUAGAAAACUAUGCACUAAAAUAUUCAUGAUUCAGCUACAACUAAAAGAUGUACCGAUUCCCCUAGCUAGGCUUGACAACACAGUGCAGCUUCCUCCUCAAUAAUUCUAAGUAUGUGAUGAACUGCACCAGCUAUGUCAUCUGCUGAAUUUAGUAAACAGCCUUCUUCCACCUGUAACAUGACAAAUCCCAAAAUUUAGCCCCCCAAAAAACCCUCUCAUUAUUUUGCCUAAAUUGUAAAAAUACAAAAGUAAGUCACUCAGAAGUGUAAAAAUUUGAGGAUACCAUUUCUUAUGAUCAUCAAUGACCCCUAACAUAUCCCUUCUAAAAUAGGCUAGAGUAAGAGUAGGGGCAGGUGUAGAGUAGACAAAUAUCAGUCGACCCAAAAAAAAAAAAAAAAAGACCCCAACCUAACAUAUACCGCUGGAUAAAAGACCACUGGAAUGCCCAAUAUACCCAUUGCACUAAGUUUAACCUGUCUAUUCUAUAGAACCCAAUGGUCCAUGAUUUCUUCGAAUAGUAACUGCAGCAUGUGUAAACUUUAAAGUGGCAGCUAGCAUUCUCUAGUCAUUUUCUGCAAGAAAUGUUUGUCAAUAUCCAUCAAUGUAACAUAUCUGAAAUAGAUGCAAUUUUAUUUCAGGACUCACUCUUCAGAAUUAGGUAAGGGUCGAUAACGGUGUCCUGGACAGCAACACUAGCACGUUACCAACCAUUGCCUCAAAUGCAUAAGAAUAGACAAGUACUAGAUGUUAAGGUACCUUAGCACUGAUGGAGUAUAGGACCAAAGGGUCCAAAGUUGUGAUAUUUAGGUGAAGGAUGGUGAGGUACAGCGUCUGUAGGCCAGUAACCAUUUUGGAGAGCUGUCUAACUCUUCUUCUUGAAAGGAUUCUAACGUUUGCAUGAGUUUCAAUCAAAGUGACUUCAAUAUCUGCAAUUGCUGCCUUGCUCUUGGAUGUGUACUUGUUUGGCAAUUGGGCUGAGCAUGUGUAUUGAGGGUAAGCGAAAAAUUGAGCAAAUGGGGUUGGAGCUGGAGGAAAACACUUGUUCCCGGUGGCCGUGGCAAUGGCUGCGGCCAUGGUGGUGGUGGUCUUGUCAUUUGCUCCUCCAUGUUGCUGUAAUAGCAAGAACCUUUGUGCUUCAAGGGAUUGCAAGUGAUGCUCAAGCUCCUUCACAAAUUCUAUAGCACCACCAACUAUAGAGGCCUGGUCACCCUGCAAAAACCAAUCUUUUCUUAUAUUUAAUCUCGUGAUUAUUAAAGUGAAUAAAUUGAAUCUUUUAAAGUAGCAUGAACAGCCAUAAAAAAAAAAAAAAAAAGGUGGCAUGCACAAAACAGUGAAAAUUCUUAUUUCGAGAUUUGAAAGAAGCUUACAUCCAUCAUUUUUAUUGUGUACCAUCUUAACUUUUACCUGGACAAGAAAAGUACAUACAAGAAUGGACAAAAUUUAAAAAAAAAAAAAAAAUCUAAUGACAACCAAACGACCAUAGCUGCCAGGAUUGCCAUUUUCAAAUCAUUGAAAAUCAGCCACAAAAUUUGGCUUCUUCAAGUAUCAGAGACACCUGCUUAAGAACCUGUCUUAUUCUACAUUGCAAAUACAUGAAUGUUGAACCCCGUGCUGGAACGGGAAUCUUCACAGACACAAAAACAAGAACGAGAAAGAAUAUUUUGUUUUGUAGCAAUCAUGCUGGUAAUGAGAACGGGCUAGUACUCAGAAGGUCAACAGAAAAAAGCAUAACCUGUCAAGAAACAAUAAAUGCAUGCCUCAAUUAGAAAUUGCAAAUUAAAAUUAAACCUCACCAAUUAAUUGACUACUAUUCAAAUGGCAAAACAAAACCAAAAAAAAAAAAACGGACUAAGGGAAUCUCAUCUCAUCUUAAAUUUGAUUAAUAAAAUCAAUUGCCUCGUCAAAAGAGAUUCCAAUUCCCAAUUUAUAAACCUUACAAACCCUAAAAAAAAAAUUUAUUUAGAGAAGAACGAAGAAGAAAAAAAAAUUUAUACCCUUUGAACAUAGGAUUCUGGCAUGAGAGCACGCAAGACAGCAAGAUGUUCAUUCAUUUGUUUACGACGGUUUCUUUCAACAGCAAUGUGAGUCAUCCUUUGGGUCUCAGCUUCCUCUUUAUUCUUGCAAACUCUUUGCCUUCUCCUCCUCUUCUUCCUGCCUUGCACCGCCAAACUAUUCUGCUGCCUUUGCGACUGCACGGGAGGCGGCGGAGGCGGCAUGCAAGAACAAUUUUCUAAACCCCCACCAGCUUCGGCACCCCCACAAUUAUCAGUUUUCAGCCCUCCAUUGUCCAGCAAGAAGUUGGUAGAAUUCUCAUGACAAGAAUUAUUGCUGUCAUUGCUGCUGAAAGGGGUGGCGGAAAUGGUGUCAUAGAUGAUGAAAUUCAGGAGUUCAUUGGAGGAAAGAGCUUCUAGAGCCAUCAUCCCUCUUCUGCACUCGACCCAACUGUUGCUUUUGUGGGCAGAUGAUGAAAAGAUUACUCGAACCCUCGAGUCUCCCAAUACUUCUCCUACUGUUAAUACUACUAUUUUGACUACUGGAGUUGUUGUUAUUAUUAAAAAGACAUCAUAUCAUUCCAUUUUAUAGCAAAAGCAAAAACCCUCUAUUAUGUUACUAUGACUUAUGACUUGUACUGUUGAGAGUUGAGAGAGAGAUUCAGAGGAGACUUCCUUUUUCCUUUACACUAACUUUUUGGGAUGCAGAGAAAAGCUCAAAAAGCACACACAAGACUUGAGCAGUAACCUCUCACGUGCAUGUAUGAGACUAUUUGUAAUGGAUGAAUCCUUCCUUGCUUUAUCAUUCUACUCUUUUUUUUUUUUCCUUUGGUUACUGUUUAUUUACUUGGUUUUUGUUUUAUAACUCUAGAAGGAUAGAUAGAAAAGUUAGGAGACAAACACAAUUAGACACGUAUACAAUACGAUCAUACGCCACUUAUAAAAUUUAAUCGCACAGAUUGUUCACUGAUACAGUUGUUACAUCGAUAGCAGAAUUCAGAAAUACACUUCAAACUUUUUUAUUUGUCGAAAAAAAAAACAAAUUACACAAUAGUUGAGGAAAAUGGUUUUUUGUUUUGGUUUCCAAUUUUUUCAUGGAUGCUGUCAAAACAUACUGCCAAGGUGUCUGCAAGUGAGGAGUGUGAGCGUGGGGGGACCCAAAUCUAUGUAGAAAUAUGCAUAAAAACAAGAGAACAAGCUGUGCAAAAGCUACCCUUCACGUUCAACAUUUUUUAUUUCGGUUUGGGUUGGGAUUUGCAAGAAACGACUGGUGCACCGCUCGCGCCACACUCAGACACUCUAGAAAAUUGAGUAUUAUGUGAUUCCGUCUGUGAAGAACUGGCUAAUUGCAGUUCUAGUCCACUCUCCUUUUGUUUUGUGUUUCAGCCUAGUCCCAUUUUUAUUCGGUAUUAUUGGAUUUAGUCCCCUAUUUCUUUUUUAUUUGUUUUAAUUAAUGAGUCCUAGUAUGAGCACUUGAAAAGUGCUUAACCAAAGAGUGUUGAUAUUAGGUUGAUAUUAAAUGAAACUCUGCUAGAAAGAAAUUCAGAUUAACAAUGAGAUACUAGCAUUUUACCUACAUUUUGUGUAUGGGCAUGGCAGCUUUAACAUGUAAGGUAAAGACUCAAUAUCACUAGCAAUUUUUUUUUUUUUCUGACGGAGUGGGUAUCCAGGUCAAUCCUUACGGGGUCUGACUAAUCCCACUCCGGCCCGGAGAGGAGGCCCCACUCCACUCGAGCACGGUGACAAGGGGACUUGAACCCUGGUUGCCCAGGUAAGUCCGCCAUACCCUAAAGAGGGGGAGCGGGACCGCUCAAGCUAACCCUUGGAGGCCAAUAUCACUAGCAACUAGAGAGAAGGAAAAGUGGUACGAUAUAUUACAUUAUUAAAACAUUGAUCAGUCAAGAACAACAUUUGCCCAAAAAAAAUGGAUUGACUCUGAUGUCCGAUCAUUAAGAGCUUUUUGAAGUUAAAAAAAAAAGUUAAGUUGAAAUCUUAACGGUUACAGCAGUAAAAACUAUAAUUUACAUUUUUUUGAUGUAUAAUAAAAAUUCAUAAGUACACACUUUAAACAAAGAAUAAUUGUAUCGAGCACUAUCACGAGUCAGUUAUUCCAAGCAAUUGCCACUUAAUAUAUACUUGUUUGUUCCUCAAAUAUAAAGAGCUAGAUUACCACUUGUGCCUCAACUUUAGCUAAAAUUGUAGAGGAUUAAAUGUAAAAGACCAAAUGCUCAGGGACUCAAGUGAGAUUGAGUGCAAAUAUAAUGAUUAAAGAUGUAAUUUUCCGGAUACUACAAAAAGUACUGCAAAGUAUGUGUCUAAAAAAAUGUUUGGGCAGAUUACAUUCACCACCGAUCGAUAGUCAACAAAGUAAUGCUUAAACAAUUCAACCUUAUCAUUGAGAGCCAUUUCUAUGCUUCAUAUAUAUUAUCAGAUUCAGAUGGUGAAUGUUAUCUACUUUGAAGAAGAGGGGAUUGCAACAUAAUGGAUAACACACAAAGCCUAUCACUCCAUCAAUAUCCCUUUUGAAGGGAGGUGCCCCUCCACACCCAUUUCCACCGUUUUGUUCUUUUGGGAGGUUCUUGGAAAGGGCUUUAGCUCUUGACUCGAAACGUGGACAUCGACACAGGAAGGGCAAUGUUACGUCCAUUCUUUGACCUGUUACUAACAAACAUGGGAAAGGAACAAGUGGAAGUACUGCAAUAGAGAAAACUUCAACGAUUAUAGGGAAGUUAGAUUUUUUUUUUCUUUUUAUCUUUUUGGUUGCCAAUAAUUUGUUGAUAGAGGAUAUGAAAACAAAAUUUAACCCACUGGGUAAUAAAGUGAAGAAGAUCAUUAAUGACAUUAAGAACUACACCGGGCACACAUUCGAUUUUACCAUCAUUUCUGCCAAGAAUCUUCCAGUCUGCACCAUACAACAAACUUCCAAACUAUGCAUGAUUACUGAUUUGAAGUUUCGUGCUUGAUGAUUGAUGUACAAGGAGAGGCAUUUAUGGUCGAUUCUGUGCGCCUUAUCUUCAAUAACAUCGCCUUAAAAAGAAAUUCGUGAAGGCUUGUUUCAAUUACAAAGAAACAAAAGUCAUAAUUUACGAGGAUAAAAUUAGCUACAAACAGAUGAUACGUGAAGUACUACUACUUCGUAGCGGAUUCUAAAGGGUUAAAUUCUUGCAAAAAGUUGAAGGGUCAAAUUUUAUAACUGAACGUGUUCUCUAGAGAGACGAGAAACAUUGCCAUUGUUUUGGUUCCCUCUAACAAGAUGCUUUCGUCGACCUAUGGAGAUGUGCAGUCCUCAGUUUGGUCCCAAACAUGCAAAUUGACGAGCCUACAUACGUAUAUAUUUAUUUGGUUGGAGAGAAAUUUCAAACCCUACAAGAGCAAAAGGAAAAGAUGGAAUUUUGAAAUCGAAACAUAAACCUCGCGGUCACCUGACUAAUGUGUCAAUCAACGGAACUGGAUCUUGAGAUAACUGCGAUUUAUUUGCAUGAAUAUCAUGUGGGUUAUGGUGCCAAGUACUUUGCUAGGGUAAUACUAAAGCGACCAGCACACUAUGCACAUAGCAUUAAACGAGAACAAGAAUUGUCAUAACAAGAAAAACUAGUUAACCAUUAACCUGAUGUCCAGAUCCUAGAACGCAAUCAUAGGCUCUUAGCUAUUGAUACUUGCGGACUAUUGUAUCUACUCAAUCAUUUAAGAAUGCUCAAGAAAAUAUUGGGUUUUGGGUACCCAACCAUCUGAACAAGCUUGGUUCAAGCUGCUGAGCUUUCUCUUUUACGUUUAAUUUUCCUUUUCGGACCAAUCACGAAGCAUGACACACUGGAAGUCCGCUGUUUUGGUUGCCCAGUUUGGGUUGCAUUUUCUGUAGAAAGAAGGACACUAUAACUUUUUUUUUUUUUGGAGAUAUGAUGUAUAUUAGGUAAAAAAAUGAUUGAGAAUUAUGUUGGAAAAAAAUAUUUCCAAAAAACUCCGUCAAAGAUUCUUUUUUUCUUUCACAAAACAUGCAAUCCAAUCUUUUGUGGAUGAAGAAAGUAAAUGUCCAUCCAAAUGCAGCAAUAUUUUUCCCGAGUCUGGUUAAACCGUCAUGUGUUUUAUUAAGGAUGAUAGAAUUUUCACCCAUCAAAGCAACCCCAACAGGGUUCUCAAAUCCAAAUUCGAAAAGUAGGCCUUUGAAUUUAUCUAUUUUAGUUGCCUUUUAACAGUUAGAUCCCAAUAUCAAUGGCGUUUACCUUUCACUUCUUAUUUUAAUCAAUCCAUAUGUUUUCCUGCAGACAAUAUGUAGAUGUCAUUUUAUAAAAUUUGAGAGAUAAAAGGUAUUUCGACAGUCUCAUUUUAGGGAUCAUUUUGUUAAGCAAACUCAAAAAAACAGGUGGGAUAUGUACAUUUUAAUUAAAAGAGAUCUACAAUCAAAAUCAGUUUAUGUGCAUUUUGACAACGUGGUUUCUGCAUCUUUCAAAUGCUUAUAACUUUGUAACCAAUAAAGUAGUUGGCCACCAAUAAAGUCUUAAAGUUCUACUUCAAUGUAGGUCAAGGAAUAUAUUCUAAAUCCAAGAUUUUCUGAAAAAAUUUCGCCAACGGAUGGAUAGACACUCGUUUGGAACGAUAAUGACUUAGUUCUCCCAAGUUCCUCCCUCGACCCCUUUGAAUCCCCUCUCUCCCUAGUAUAGAGCAGUGGUAGGUAUAAAUCCAAGAUUUACUAGAAAAAUUUCACCAGCUAAUACGUAAGCACCCGUCAGGACUGGUGUUAGUUCAAUCCUCUUGGAUUUUCCCUUGACCUCUUUGGAUCCCCACAUCCCCUAGUAUAGAGUAGGAGUAGAUAUAGAUUAGAAUUUAUCGUGUCCGGCAAAACAAAAAAAAAAGUUGAUAACUUCAUAGUUCCAAAUAAAAUGGAUCUAAUGUAUGCCCAUAAACAUUCACGCAAAGGAUAAAAAAAGUAAUUAGACAGCUCCAAGUCAGGACUAGAUCUCCACAUGCAAGAAAGAUUUUUAUAAUUCCGGUGAAAUCACAUCAUAUUACCAAAUUAAGUAGAAUUCCAACCAGUGAAUUGUACAAGAAACGAACACAAGAACAUAAAGCAAAUUUGCAGCAAUCAACCCAAAAAGUUCUUAGUUACAUCUCAUCAGACCUGAUCAAAAAGUUAAUCAAAGCCGAAGUUGCCCAAAUGGACUCAACCGGACAGAGCAAAUAAACAAUGUUGUCAGUAUGAGAAGGGAAACAAAGCAAAAACACUGGGAACUGUAGCCUUAUCUGGAGAUGAGGGCUGAUGAGUGAUGAGAGAGAGAGAGAGGUUUGCGAGGACCACGGUCCAACCUGUCAGAGGCUCUGCAGGGGAAUCCAUGUGACGACCAGCCACCUCUUGGAAAGUACAUAUUUACCAAUCAUCCACAAAUAUAUAUUCACAUUGAAGUUAAAACUCUCUUUAAAAUUUGCUUUUGACCCAAGAAUGGAAGGGAAGGAAUACAUAUUGGCCAAUGCCUUUUUAGGCUUCAGCUCAGCCUUUAGUGUCCUUUUACUUUUUACUCUACUACUGUCUAGUAGUAGUACACUGUAGUACUGCUUAAUGGCUUUGUGGGUACGGAUAAAAUGCAAUCUAGCAUAGUAGCCAUGCACAAACAAUAAUGUUAGGAGAGAAAAGAACGUACAACCCAAACUCUAUGAGUUGUACGUGUACACAAACUCCUUAUAGGCAAAUGAUACUUGAGCUUAUGCAAUAGGCAAUUCAACAAGCAGAGAUGCAUGUGAACUUCAUUGUGUGGGCAACUUCGUUGAUGGGUUGGACACAAUUGUCUCAACCAGGUACUGAAACCCCCAAAGAUUUGAAGUCCAUUCAAGUCAAAGGGAACUCCUUGAGAAGCAAAUUUUUGUAGAACAUAAUUGUGACUGCCUCGUGGAUAUGAAAGUUACAUGGUAGAGAUAAAAUAAGCAAACUACAAGUUUAAAAGUUCAAUUGUGGCCCAAAAAGCAGUUAGGAUUCAAUUGGCAAAGCGGAAGCAAGGUCCGCUACCAAAAUUUCAACUUGACGCCAAAGAAGUAUGCACAUCCAACGAAAGCACAUAAAGUAAAUUGAUAAAGAAGCAGGAUGGCAAGGGCAGUGGCUGGUGAAACAAAGAGCGUGUCAAUGGACAAGUUCACUAACCCCGUCAGCACAUUAGCCUGCACCAUAAAGGCAAAUUUCAUUCCCUUGCGUCCAGUGGAACUCUAGAAACGCACCAGAUAUCUAAUAUCAAAAGAAAAUUGAAAUUAGGAAGCUUUUGCUCACCAGAAGAAAAGAUGCCAAUAGGUUUCGGUUAAAUGCUUCUUCCAGAAUGGAAAUUCUAUUUCCAGGUAUAUAAUCAGAAAGUGUUAAUAUGGCUAGUACCUGAAAGUUUGUAACAAACAUCAUUAAAAUAUAUCUUGUUCAAGGAGAGAUGCAAUAAGGAGCCUUUAAGAUGCCAAACAAGAUAUAAAAAUUUGAAAGCAGAAGUACAGCAACAGACAUAUCUGUACACGUGUGUAUGGGCACACACACACACACACAAAACGCGGAAAAUGUCUACAACAAACAAGUGAUUCUAACCAUUUCCAAUUCCCUUCCGCUACCCCCACACUUCUUCCGUCCUACACUUCUAAGAACAAAAAAUGCUCAUGCAGUCCUCAAAAAUAACAAAAAUGUCUAUCUAAAGAACGUUAUGGCCAAAUAAAAACAACCUGCAAGCUCCACAGAAAUCAAUAGCAUGUCAUUCUAACGUGAUUCAUUAUAAGGAAAAAUCGAUUGUCCAGAUUAUGUAAGUAUAGUGAAUUCGGAGUUGAGGUGGUCCAAAUCAAAGGAUUCCAAUAUGUAUACAAGAAAAAGAAGCUACUCCACAUCGAGCAAUUGCCCAUCAAUUGGCUUAAUUAAUCUAAUGAGAUUAUCAAAUAAUGAUGAAACAAAACCUAAUUUGACUUGAAGGUCAAUAACACAGUUUCCAGUUUGACAACCUCGACUUGUCAUGACUCAACAGAAAUAUAUAUUCCAGGCCCUCAUUUGCUCACUACAAGUAUCCCUCCAGCCCGCCAUACUGUAACUUACUACCUCAGCAAAAUACUAUUCAAAUAGUCAACCAAUAUCUCCAAACCUAAUUCAGUCACAGCAUUGAUUGCUCUUAUAUAUCAAAUAGCCAUGAGAACACUACAAUUAACUUAUUUUAAUAUUUUAUUACAUGUUUAGCUGAAAGUACCUUGCCUAUUAGUUUUGCUGCAGUACAUAUCCAAUCUGAACACAAUUUAAUGUUGUUUAUUACUAAGGGCAAAUGGAUAUACAUCCAAUGUCUAGGUGAUCCAACUCAAGCAUCACAUAAUCAAUGUUUGAGGUUGCAAGCAUAUCAUGGCUUGACAGACCAAAAUGGCAAGCGCAGAGCAGGAACACGGUAUUGAAGGAAGUGGAGCCUCUUUGAAGGAUCACAGGAAGCGAUAGGUUUUUGAAAAGUUCAGGAUGUCGGAUUGACUAAUAGCACAGGCAAACUUGAGGAGCUCAAAUAAAAGAAAAUGAGUACCUUCAACAAUUAUCUCAAAGCACCUUCCACACUCUCAUGAUUUUGCAUAUAGAACUUCUAUGUUCCAUUUGCAACUCAUAUAUGAACCCUAUUAUCUCCAGAACAAUCUCACAUUUGCAAAGCAAGGGCAUCUCACUCCUGUAUCCUCACACAACACAAUCAUGAUUUCCUCUCUCCAUACAGUCUUCACCCUUUCCUUACCCUUGCCAACUCUUUACAACACCCAGGAAUGCAACAGAUGAAAGCAUUACUUACCACUGGUAGGAACAUUCACUCCAGGUUUGCUGUGGUUCUUCUCAUAAAUUUUCCUUUUACAGUUUAGAGUUUUACCGCAUAAUCCACGUAGAAUUUAUAAGUAAUUAACAAUGGUUAAGUCCCUAAGCCUUUUCCAGAGCCACUAACAUAUUCUGAAACUUUACAUUUUAUAACCUUGAGGCUACCUGUAUGAUCUUUUGUAUCAAAGAUAAAAACUAUGCUGUGAAUUACCAUAAACUUAUAUUGACCAAAAACUUUGGGCACAUGACAAAUAUCAGCAAUUCAACUGGCUGAAACAGCAGACCCUAUGGUUGAUCAUGCAUAUGACAGGCCAAUAAAAAUUGGUCAUCUAAGUAUUUAAACAAACUGGCUACUCAUGACUCAUCUAUCGUUUGAAAAGAUCAUGAAAAUGAAAUUUACCUGUAGAUUUAGAGCCAAUACCAAAGUGACAUAUGCCAGGUUGCACUGCAGAAAAUUCUCAUCAUUUUCUUAAAAAUGAAUGCACAAAGCAAGUUCCAUUUUCAAAAAUUACUGAAUAUAAAUCAACUUAAAUUGCUAUUAGUUAAAGAGCUCUUAAAAUCUUAGAUAAUAACAGCAGCAAGAUGUCUUACCAUUCUGCGAGAUACUCUCUCCACAUGCCAAUCUAGAUAUAAAGUCAACAACCUACAAUUUCAAGAGGGAUAGAAACUGCCUAGUUAUCGAAACAACCAUAGCAUGGGUUGAUGGAUUUUAUGAGACAACUAGGUUCAGAAAUCGAAGUAUACCAGAAGAAAAUACAAAGCACCCAAACUGUAAUGCUUCCCCCCUUAUCGGCACUUCUCAUAACCUCGCCAUGAUUCCCAAAUAAAAGAAGGCUGCCCAAUUGUACACCAACAAGAUAUAUGCCCCAAUAUCCUGACAAGCAAACCAAUCAAUUCAGUAAAAUAUGAAUAUGCAUGAGUGCAUGUUGCAAGUACUAGUGCUCAUUAAAAAGUAAUGAUAAUAGACUUCAUAUAGCCAUUGAACUUGCUCUAUGCAAUUGAAUGAUUACUUCAAAUCAUGUUAUAUAAUUUAUUGUCAUCUUGAAUCAAACUAUUCAGCAACAAAGCAUUAUUGGCUGCAGAUAAAAAGAUUGACAUCAAAGUUUCCAGUUAAUAAUGUAGAUAAAUUCCCGUUGCUGCCUCAAGUGGCACAAAGUCAUUGUUUAAUUUAUUUUAAUCUGCAUCAAAUAUUGCCACCUUCCUAAUUUAUCAUCCACUCACUGUUUCAAAAUUAUCACAUCAAUUUACCUUUCAUAGCUUGGUAUCUUAUCCAUAAAUGUACUUCAACAAGUGAAUGUUACAUGCAAACUAUAUUUAUCAGUCCUCAUUUAGUUGCAAUAAAUUCUGUAAUUUGCCAUUAGAUGCAAUGACAUUCUUCACGAUGCUGCUUAAGAACUUGCUGCCAUGCAUCAAAUAUUGAUGAUAACAGAUUUGAUUGUUAUAUUUAACAGAUCAGGAUCAACUACAAAAUAUGCAUAGGAAUGGUACUAUAUUUGCCUGGUAGAAUGCAUUAUCCAUUCAGUUUAGAACUGGGGAUAUAGAACAUGUAUAAACAUGUCAUUUCUUCCUCCAUCAUACUUUUUGCUACAUAUUCGAAGAGAAAACUCUGAAUAAAAGCAAUUUGAGAAUGAUUCUCCUCACUCCCAGUUUGUAUUCCGAUGAUUUACAAAUGUCAGUACUUUAGGUAUUCCUUCUUUAUUUCUUACAGUGAUUGUGCAAUCAAAUGUAAUAAACAGAAGUUAAGAAAAAUGGCAAGCCCAAUGGUCAAAAACAGAGAUAAUAAGGAAUAACACACAUAAAGAUGGUAGAAAAUAUAUACAGCAUAAGUUUCACAGUUUCUCACCAAUCAUGCUGAAUAUCCCUUCCUUGUUUUGACUAAUAAUGUCUGCCCCUCUUUUAUCAGAGAGCAAGUAAUCGUUUAGCCCAUGUGACAGAAAGAAUUGAUAUCCUACAAUAACAUAAUAAUUCAGCUCAAUGUCAACAAAAAAGCCAAUAAUCUUCUUGAGUAAAAUGUAAAAGAACUGCAAGUGAGAAAUAUGAAUCUUACCCACUAAAACAAAGAAACCCAGAAGCCCACAGUAUCUUGAAGGAACAUUUAUCACCGAUGUCAGGAUUGACACACCAGCAAGCGUAAAAAAGAAAUUCCAGUGCACUCCAUAUUCCCCGACAUGAACCUGCAAGGAGAAAGAUAAAAAUGUUCUUCUACAUCAUCUAUAUUAGAUAUCAAUCAUGGAUAGAAAACCUCAGAAUACAAGGAUAAAGUAGAGCUAAUAAUAUGACAAUGAGCAACUAUAACUAUCCCACUCACAGUAAAAAGGGGAUGUCAAAUACAAGCUGACAAUGAGCACUCUCUAACCCAGUUCCAGACCCCCCUAUCCCAGUUGCCACAGCAAUUAGACAUUCAAAAAUAAAUACACAACCAAAACCAGCUAAAGGCCACAAAGUUGCAUCAGAGCUCAGAAGCCACCAAAAAUUUUCAAUUCUUUGAUUACUAAUUUGCUGCUUUUGUGGGUAACAUACCCUGAAAUACAGUUAGACAAGCAUUUAAAUGUACCAUAGAGGAUAGAUUUAAAGAACAAAGCAUUCAACCUGAUAAUCAACGCCAGAGGUAAAAAACAGUCGGGCAAAUCCAAGAAGAAUUAGAGGACUACAUGAGCGGAUUGUACUUCUGAGUGUCCUGAAAUCAAAUAUCAGCUCUAAUUAACAAGCACAAAACAAAAGGGAAAACAUGGAUUUUUUUCUCUGAAACAAAAAAAAAAAACAAAAUUUCAACCGCAUUUGAGCUGAAAGAAGCAUGAUUUUCAGUGUGUUGAAACAGUAAUUACAAACAUUUGACAGUAAGCUGUAAGUUGCACAAACACGACAGAACAACAACAGCAAAUAGAGAACACAAUCAAUCAUGGACUGAAAUAAGCUUGCAGAAUUCAUGCAUAUGCACGAUUCAAUUCUGUUCCAUACGAAGCAUGCAAGGUAUGACACUAUCAUACAGCCAUUUCAAAAAAAUAGCUAAAGUGAGCAUAUAUUACUGGUCAAUUUUGAAACCCUUGCCAUGCAAAACCAAAGAACAUAGUAUUUCAAAUGUAUUGUAAGUAGAUAGUCCAAAAUCAAUGGCUAGUCUCCGUCUAAAAGAAAAUUAAGCAUUUAGACAAUGAAAGCACAAACAACCACUUACACUAUUGAAUUGCCUCGUGCCUGUUGUGAAACCAGGGAAUUGACUAAAACAAAUGAGCCCACCCCAAGAUCCAUCUAAUAGACAGGAAAAAGAAAAGAAAAGAGGAAUUUUAGUCAGGCACUUAUCUUUAAAGAUAUCUAUCAAAGAGAAGAGUGUAGGUAGCUCAAGAAUCUUACCAAACCAGUGCCAUAGGUCUCUGUUUUAGCAUAUUUUCUAGGAAAUAUUUUGAAGUCAACAGCCAAAAUACACAAGCACGUGGCAAGCAUCUGCAGCAAUUACCCUUGUAGCCAAAAUUGGAAAUUUCAAGGAAAAAUAAUGCAACCUUAACAGACAAAGGGAAAAAACCACAAUGUAUUUAAUCAUAAGACAAGGUGCAUACCAUAGCAACCCGGUAAGAUGAGAUGUUUGCCCUAAAAGAAAAGACACCACUUUCCUGAAAAGAAGAAGAUCUAAAUCUGUAUGGAGGAUUAAUACGUUUCUAAUGUAAUAAUUUGCAUAGACUAAAUUAUUCCAAAUGAACUGUAAAGUACAUGUAUCCAGAUAUUUUGGUGUUAUGCAGGUAAAUAACGCAUAACCAAAUUCACAAACGUAGAUAAAACACAAAAAAUUCUAUGGAUAUGCAUUCACCUUCUAGCUGAAAAAGAGAUAAGCAGCAACAAGAUCAGCGAAGUUGCAAUCAAAUAUAUCCAUUCAGACAAAACCUAUAACAAACAGAUGUCAGCAACAAUUACAAUAACUUUGUGUGCAAAAGCCAUGGAAAGAAAGAUAAAGGAUCUACAUAUGCUGGAAAAGAAAUUUGAAGUCCAGGCAAUUAAGCUGCCUAUUUAAUACUAGUUGACAACCAACCAUCCAUCAGUCAACAACCUCAUUGAGUAAACCAUUUUCAAAAAUAUCUGACAAAACCUUCACUCAAGUACCUGAGGACCUCAAACUUGUUGCAACUCUAAAAGAAUUAACAAAGAAUGAACCCAUCUUUCCAAAGGAUUGACAUGUAUAGUGUGGCAUUUAAGGCCCCUACCCAAAAUGCUGCCCCGCGAAAGCAGCACAUAAGGACGUGUAUUCCUUAUGUGUAUGUGGAGAAGAAAGUGAGGGUUUCAAUACAGCUAGUUGUUCCUAAUGAAUCCCCUGGUUCCACAUCCACCAUUAUUUGCAAAUACAUUACAUUCAAACAAAACGGCUGAAAAAUAAACUAGAAUUAACAUAUUUCCAUAUAGCCAGGACAAAGCACUUACAGUAAGAAAUAAAGUAAAUGGGGCAAGGAUGAAGAAGAAAUCUACAACCAUCACAGCAACAAAAGCCCUCAGGCUCUUAUAUCCAACAACUUCAUCAUUUUUCUUCAUAGAGGCUUCUGUGGCAUUAUGACCUAAAUAAACAAGAGAUCCUGAUCAAUAAACAGAUAGCAUGCUAAUAAUAGCGCCCUGCAUCCCUGAGAUCAUCAAGCAAAAGUUCCAUUCUAUAUGCAUAAAAUUAAAAUGCAACAAAACAAACACACAACACGAAUGAGAAACUAAAAUUAAUAAUUGCUAUUUCGACAUAAUGCAUCCCGAUCCCAUAGCCAAAUAACCCAUUAAACAUGCUUCUUUUAAAAUUCAUAAUCAAUCAAAGCAAAAAUUUUAUAAACUAAGGCCUCAAGAAUUGUUCUUCCCUCCAAGUCAUAAGAUGCAAUGCAUAUAGACUUCUCAAAGGAUUUGGAAGCUGUAAUCCACUUUAAUUUUAAACACCCAACCAAAUGGAACCUGCCAACCUUAGUUUCUUCUCCAACUACACUUAAAACAUCAUCUAAAGCAGAAUGACAAAUAAACUCUGCGCACCAGCACGUAAUCCAUUUUUGUUCAGACAUACAGACAAUUGCUGCAAUAAUUUCACUUCAUGAAAUCAAGGCAAUGGAAACUAGCUAGUUUGUGAGUUGAGGAUAGAAAAGAAAAGAAGAGAAAUGAUAAGUUAUGUGAGAAAAGAAAGGAUAAAAAAAAAAUUUGUAAGCUUCCAUCAGUUUUCCUUCGCUUUCCGCCCGUUUUGGUCAGAAAAUUUUUGCACUGUAGCAGCGCUUAGCUUCUCUUCAAGAUCCGUUCGUUUCUUUUCUUUUCCGUCUCACUAAAAUCUUCCAAACGUGAAAAGUUCACCUUUCCCUUCCUUUCUUUUCUAUUCCUUUGAAAUCUGAACUCCCAAACUAGAACUGAACAAACUGCUGCAAAAGUUCGGAUGUUAUUUUUUUAACAAAUUCAACAAUGCGUAUAAUACUUACCAACCAUGAUAUCACAGCCAAAGGUUCGUCUUAGAAGUACCAAACACUGAAAUCACAAACGCAAAAUUUUUUUUUUUAAAACAAAGGAAAGAGCAGAAAUUUACAGCCUUGAAAAAGAAAAAUUCAAAAUGAAGAGAAGAAUAGGGUUUCUUACGGAGAAUGUUGUAAUAACAACGAAGAGCUCGAGCAUAGACGAGCCAGUCAAAUUGCUCACAAAUCUGUCCACAUUUUUUUUUUCAAUUAGUCUCAAAUAAUUGGUAAUCAUUUACAAAUUUUUAACCCCAAUUCAAAGAGAAAAUAUAGUGAAGAACGGAGAAAACUACUGUUCUUUGAGCUGCUUGUUGGGGUUGAAGGAUCUGAGAUUGGAAUCCAUUUUUCUGACAAUCGACGAAUCAAAUGCCGUAAGCUUUUUAAUUAGGAUUAUUUGCAAAUUACCCAAUGAAACGAUCUGUUGUUUGGAGAGAAGGUAGGAACCAAGUACUUGUCAUUUGUCCCAUUUCCAAGGCGUGGUUACAGAAUGACGCCUUUAUAUGCAAUCUCAUUUCGAAGCUACCUCGCUGAGCCCGGUCGCGUGGGCUCCUAGAGUCCUAGUCCUAGCCAAGCGGGGCACUCUCAGGACGCGGUGCACGGGAGGGUUUCCCGGGUUCGCCCUCUUAACUCCUCUGCUCCUGCCCCACUGUGGGCUUUUUGCCCGUAUCUAUUGUUUGGAUUGUGAUUUUUCGCAGAAAAAUUGUUACUUUUUUGUAAGUAUAUUUUUUAAUUAUUUUUUAUGUUAUAUAGAUUAAAUUGUUAUAGUAUAUCUUUUCUAUAAAAAUUUUGAAAAAUAACAAUCCGAACCCAAGUUUUUUGGCAAGUUUGUCUGCUAUAAAUUUUUUAAAAACUCUAACUACAGUAAUCUUUAAAAACUUUUCAAAGUUUUUAAACUAAUAUAUAUUUCAAAAUAUUCAAAAAUUUACACUUUGAAUAUUUGGUUCUUACUUUGAAUAACAGAUUUAGAGGUUGUUUGAGUUACACUUUUGGAAGAGUUUUUGAAGAAAAAUUAAAACUUUUUAACAUGUCAUCUAUGUGCAGUAAAAAAAAGUAAAUGAAAAAUAUGUAAAAAAUAAUAUUCAUAAAAAACGUAAAAUUUUUCUCCGAAUAUUAGCUAUCCUUCUUUAGUUACUUAUUUUUUGGAAUUCUUAUUUCAAGCAUUAAUUAUAUGUUAACCUUAUAAUAGUUGGCACAUACUUAAAUUGAAGCACAAAGUGAAAUGUUUGGUAUUUUUGUUAGAAAUAACCUAUUCUUUAAAUACAAUAACACUUAAAUUCUGAAAAUAUAUAAGUACCCUCUGAACUUUGGGAAUUCAAACUUCACCACAUAGCCAAUUUUGUACUAUAAAAGUGUUCAUGUGGAUUGUUAAAGCGUUUAAGAAAUACUAACCAUGAUACCUUUGGGGGCACAUUCGAAGUUGUGGUAGAGUGUAACUAUUCCCAAAACUCAUGGGAGCAAUGUGUGAUUAACCCUUUAGUUUUUCUAAAAUCAAGUAAUUUGAUAAAGAGUCCUUGUACUCUUUCUAAAAUCAAGUAAUGAAAAAUUGUCAAGAUUUUCUUCAGAGAAGAGAUGAAGAAUACCAAUUUCUGUGGCUUGUCAUACUUCUUUAAGAUGUCAUCCAAAAAACAAAAUGCAGGUUCAAAGUUCAAACUCGUUACCAGUUAUCAAUAUGACCGAAGAUCAUAAAUAAAAAUGUCUUCCGAUGGAAAGAACAUGAAGAAUUAUUGGACAACGCUGUCAUAUUUUGUUCUUCACUUAUUCUCCCUAUAUAAAUAUUCAAGAAAUUGCAAUAUUAGCUUUCAAGAAUUUCUAUAGAGCAGAAUUUGCAAUCAACGAUAUAUAUAUAUAUAUAUAUAUAUACUACUCUCUGUAUGAAUCUUUAAGCAUCUCAAUGAUGGACGCGUAUUCGAUAAAACCAAAAUUAAAAAAAAGAAGGGAGGGAGGAAAAGAGAUUAGCUCAAGAGGAGGAGGACAAAAACAAUUCAGUCAAUCUUUGUUGAUGUCUGCACCAGAUAGCCCUGAAACUUCACCAAAACCACCAUUUCUUGUGGUUUCUUGGCUUCUAUAUUCUCCAAAAACAGUGCAACUUCUGCUUGUAUUAUGUCCCUUAAUAAUUUUUUCUUGAACUUGCUCUGGCAAUCUCAAAGUAAACCUAUCCUGAUCUUCUGAUCCUUUAGUCCUAACUAUUGAAUGUCCUGUUGAAUGUGAUCUUGAAAAUCUCUCCAGCUCAGUAUUAUUGUUCCGCCUUUCAACUAGAACGUGAUCAGCAGCCGUAGCAGAAGUCCUCCUUUCGCCGCGAUCGCUGCCUCCUCUUUCAUCUUCAGUUUCAUCCUUUACUGUGAUGGAAACACUUUCAGGCAAUGACUCAUUUUCGUUUAUGAGACGCAUGGUAUUCGUGAAUGAUAUCAUCGAGCCUUCUUCGACAUACGGGACAAGUUUUGUGUUUCUCAAGCCAUAGAUCAAUGCAUUCUUGAUGAAAAACGUGACAACAUGUUGUCAAAAGUCGAAGAAGAUCAUCAUCUCCAAACUCAACUAAACAGAUGGCACAUUCUAGCCCAUAUUUUUCCUUCCUAUAAUCUUUAACACUGGAAUAGGUGAAUGCAGGGAAAGAUUGUAUGAUUUUGGGAUCAAUCCCAGGGUUGUCUUGUGGAUGUGUUGGAACGAUAGGCGUGGCUGCAGGACUAUGACGAAGGUGCCAAGAGAGGAUUAGAUUCUGCAUGAAACAUCUACAAAAGUAUAAUGCGAAAAAUCCCACAAAGAAAAACACAAGAAGAAUGAUUGUUAUGACUAUGGUAAUUGGUGGAGUGCUGUAUGAUUCUGGUGUUGGAACUGAUUGCCGGAGAGAGCCAUCAUUUGACAUUGCCUGAAAAAAAAAAAGAACGAAAAAAGAGGGCAAGGCAAGUUGCAGAAAAGCUUAAUGCUUUUUUUGGGGGGGGGGGGGGGGUGUUGGCCGGAUAUUGACUAUUCCGGCCUUGACGGCCUUUUUUUUUGCUCUGUACGGACGAAAGAAAACCCCAAGAAAAUGAAGUGACUCAAUCACCCGUAAGAGAGAAAGAUCCAAGGAGAUUAGUUUGAUUACACUGUGAAUUUGGUGCGGUAGAUUUUUCAUGUUUGGUGAGUUGCAUGUUUGCUUGAGAAGGAGAGAAUGAAGGAGGGGCAUGCAUUUGUUUCAUUUGCAAAGAACAUCACACAUUUGAGUUUCAAUAUGGUUCAACAACGUGGCAAGUUGGUUUUUCAUCUUUGGUUAGAAUCAGAGGAAUUGAGCGAGUCGUCUGAGGAUGGAUGAUGAGGAGUGUUGUCUUUGCUCUUAGCAUUAUUGUCUUGCAACCACCAAUAGGGACAUAUCUUGAGUUUUUUGUCAAAAUAACACUCUUACUAAAAAAUAUUUCCAAUGUGAUUCACUUUCAAAUUUUAUUACCAUAAUGAUAUUAUUGUUCCCAUCUAGUUAUCCUGAUUGCCAGGUAGGAUAACAAGAAAGGAAAGUUCUAAUCCAAUUUAUAGUUUCCAACAUUAACUAAAAUUUUAAUUUUUUUUAUUAUAGAGGCACAAGAAGAUUGCAUGACUUUUAUAAUUUCCUUAUAAUUAUCUAAAAUAAAUUUUACCAUUAUUGACUUUACUAUUAUUGGUCUCCGAAUUUUUUUAAAUGUAUCAAACCUAUUGCAUAUAUAUUUUUUCAAAAAAUAAUUUUAAAAAUACAAAAAUUGCACCAAAAAUUGCAACGAAAAUUGUAAUCAAUUACAAAAAUUUCAAGGUUAUCAUAUUUGUUUAUGUUAUCCUUCCUACUCUUUGAAAAGACGAAAAUAAUCUUCAUCUACCUUAAGAUUAUCGACUUGCAAAACAUAUUUUUUAGAUGCUGUUAAUAUAAAGAUUGGCUUCUUAGAUUAUGUUUGACAAGGGAAAGAUAACGAAAGAAAAAAAUGUGGGAAGCUUUAUAGAGAAAAUUGAAGAAAAUAUUAGAUAAGAAAGAGAAAUGGAGGACGUCUUUAUCUCUAUCCUGACACAUAUGCAGCCUAAGUAGAAUGGCAGCAUAGAGUUGACUUCAUUGAUUGCUUUCACCAAUGCGAGACAAGAAUUGUAACAUGCUAAAUCAAAAUUAACAGCUUCCCUUUACACGUUGUGAAUCAACCUUUUUUUUCGAGCAACGAUAAUAAUUGUAUAACCUAUUCUAUUCUAGUCUACAGAGAAGGGGAACCUAAAGAGAUUUGUGUUAGUCCUAAAGAGAUUUGUGUUAGAGACUAACAGGUAUACAAAACUGACUAGAUCAAAAGGGUGAUUUGGCACCACCCUUGAAUUUUUUUUCACUGCAGGUGAAAUUUGAACCUCCACCUAUAGCUCAAGGAGGGAUUUAGCCACUGAGCUUGCAUGUUGUGAAUCAACUAGGGAUGGUAUGUUGGAAGGCAUGCUAAAGAGAUGGUUUCCAUACGUGAUAAACUCAAAAAUCACGGAUUCUGAUUGGUUCAUGGUUCUAGCAUUUUGCGCUUUCUUGGGCGGAGGGUGGGGAGAGGCAAGCAGUUUUUGAUUUGUUAUGGAGACAGCAAAGCAGAAAAGCAAAAGGAACACAUUUGACAAACAAGCGUGCUUUCAACUAAAGUUACAGCUACUGCAUGCUAGAAUACAUGCUCAACCAAAAAGCUUAUAAGCUGACCAAAGGAACAAACCAAAACGCAGCUUAUUCAUAACUGAAGCCACAACACAAGAACUUUCAGGAAAAAGCUUGGCUUGCGGUACCCUACAACCAUCACACAAUGGCUCAAGUUCAAGCUUCCAG
rnacentral:lncRNA from 1 species